CGGUUUCUAAGGGACAAAGCCGGGUGCAUCUCAUACAUGCGCCAAAGAAGACAACACAUAUAAUAACAGAGUGUAUAGAGAUAAAUGUCACAAUAAUCAGAGUACUUAUUACAUAGCGGAAGACCUAAAAAAUAAAAGAUAAAUAUAGCAGGAUCUAAAAUCCAUCCUUGGCGCCAGAAAGUCAACUGGGAGACACCACCUAGAUCGAAUCAAACUCCUCGAUGCAUGGCUCCACUUGAACCACCUGUUCUUCUCCUGUGGGGGGUGUGAGACAGCAAGGGUGAGCUCACAUAUGUUCAUCGCUCAACAAGUUGUGGGGAAUAAUGUGGCAUGAACUCACCAAAGGUGGGAAUUCAUGUGAAGUGUAAGGCUGAUCAACAAAAUAAAGGUUGAAGCUGAGCAUUGCUUUUAUAAGUUGGUCAAAAUUUUAUUAGCAAUUACUAAGUAUAAGUAGAUACCAAACCAUAAUAAUAAUAGAACAAAAUUAAUAAAUAAUCCCAUGCAAAUGCAAAUGACAAUUUGAGUUUAAGUUCCAUAAAUUAAUCAUGUGAGGGUCCGAGCCGCUCAUGACCGUGAGCAUGGCUAGUAUACCAGUUUUACACUCUGCAGAGGUUGCACAUCUUUACCUAUAAGCUGUGUUACCCAUCUGCCAAGGGGUCAUGAAUCCCAUACACCUCUACCAAGGAAGUGAGGCAGGGUAACACUACGAGGCCUUUACAAAGUUCCACUAGCUUCAGAAAACCCGCUACAGUUUAUAGGAAGCUCCAGUGCAGGAAUCCCUCGCCUGACCGCCAUCGCAGCAAAAUCAACCCAAGGACCUUCCUACACUGACCACUCCCCUACUUCCCUUACCCCUUUCGGGUAAGGUAGUCAUCCACUAGCUUUCCUAGUUAAUCAGCAAAGGGCGUCCCAUUAAACCCUUGUGGUAGCACUGUUUUCCCGGGUGGUCGCUCCAUGUUGCAAUUAACAUAAUGAUCUUAUCAUGAAUAUAAAUAACAUAACAGAAUAAUUGGAACAUGGAUAUAAUAAAAUAUUAAUCCCAAAACCAUAUAGAGCAAUAGCAUAACUACCCAAGUGAUUCAGGGAUAAACAAGGUAAAAAGGAUAACCAAUCUAGGGUGACCUAUUGGGUCCCAUCAAAAUUAAACCUAUGCAUUGAAUAGUGAUAAUAAAGAAUAUUAUUGGGUAACAAAAGUGGAUCAAGGGCACAACUUGCCUGACACUUGAGAUUUUAGUUACCAGGGUGAUUCUUCAGAUCCUCGUGAUCGCACUACUAGUCGUAGCAAUACAAACAAACAUGGUAUAGAUAAAAUCAAUAUCACACCAAACAUGAGAACAAAUUAAAUAAUAAUGAUCUACGCGAAGCUACAAGAUCGUGGGAACGAGAACCACUAAAAUCGGAGUUACGAUUAAGGAGUUAUGAUCUAUAAAAGCUCUACAUAAUUUAAAUAUUAAACUUAUAUUAUAAAUUGGUUAGUAUAGAUCAUAUGAGAAAUUAUUCUAUAAAUAAUUAUCUCAACUUUAAUCUAAGUCAUUAUUUUAUUAAAGCUUAUCUAGUUAAAUUAUAACCAUAAAAUUAGAAUACUAUAUUAAUAUUAAAUACGUUAAUCUAAUAGACAUAGAUUAACCCAAUUAUAAAGUAUGGAAUAUCAUAUAAUAAAUGUUGAUAUUGUGUAGUAGAUAUUUAUAUGAAGCUAACGCAAUUGGAACGAGCCAAAUCGGAUUUAAAACCGAGGAGUUACGAAUUUCCUAAGGUUUAUGUAUUUUGCACAAGAUUAAAUAGGAUAUAAAUUUUAAUGUGACUUUCAUGUGAAAACAGUGGUACUAGAUGAUAAACCAUAAUAUUAAAAAAUUAUAGGAACUGGAAUGGAUUAAAAAGGAGUUAAAAUGUAUUUUCUAGGAAUUAAACAAAUUUCUGGAAUUAAUUUUGCAUUAAAAACUUUUUUUCUAAAUGAAUUCUCUGUUUUCCUAGAGGUCUGGACUGCGCGCAUGAUUAAACAGAAACCCAGGGUCUAUGGCAUAAAACAUCUAAGACUCAGGCAUACGGUCAAUGGACUGCGGGUUUAAUAAGAAGGAUUCUAGGGUCUCUUUUAAAAGACGGCCAGGGCUGAAGGGGUAUAAUUCAAUCCUGACCGUCCGAUCUAGCAUGAACGUCCCAGAUUAGAUCGUGAUUCCAGUGAACCGAUAUGCAACAGGGGACGUCGGAUCGUGGAUGAAGGUUCUGGAUUUAAAAUGUCUUGAUCAAACCAUACACGCCCAAUCGAGAUCCAAUGGUCAGAUUAGGACGCGUGAAGGGGUAUGCGCUGGUGUGAUCCCGACCGUUGAUGCCCGGACCAAUGGUCCAAAGCGCAUCGCUACACUUCUCCCCUAUCUCGACCACCAGAGCAGCCGCCCCGCCCAAGGAGCACGACGGAGGAUCGCCGGCGACACGCGAUUUGGCGCAACCGAGCCGGUGCCACAACACAACUAGGUGCUAAACGAACUAGGGCGUGCAACGAAUCGAAUGAGCUGGUCCUUACCCCAGAUUGGAGAGCCACGGAUGCAGUCCAUGGUGGAUUGCGGCACGAUGGCGGAGAAGGAAGCUCGACGCCCAAUUCUGGCAACCCAGGCCGAUGCCCCGAUCCGCGCGGUCCAUGGAUACACUCCUUGACACCCGGUGACCGUCCCUGGGCUAGUCGCAGAACCGCGACCGCCGCAAGGAUCAAGAUUUGAUGCCGGCGACUAUCCUCCCGAUGGCCGCCCCUCUCGAAUUUCUCACGGUGGGUGACGCUAAGGCGAUAGUGUGCAUAGACGGAUGGAAGAAAAGGAGAAGUGGACGGUGCACUAGACAUUAUAUGCCCAAGGUGAGUCUGUUGAGGCGUACGCUGGUGGCGAGAUUAACGGCGGGUCGUUAGGGAGGCCCUGACCAUGGCGGCGUGGGUGAGGUCCUACAGUUAUGUGCAGUUGCGAUGCGGCAGGCGGGAUCAGGUCAGGGUUGAUUGCGCCCGGUCAGCUGAAAUUGCACGCGCCAGCGGAGAUCAGGCGCGGCGAGAUCCAGACCCGCGGAGUGUGUGGCGGUGAAAUCGCGUUCUGUUUGAGGUAGGGGAACGAGCUGACGACUGGGCCCACAUGGAAGUGAAACGGGAGCGUGCAAUGAGGAUGGUAAGGAAAAGACUUUAUCCAAAAUGUUUAAGUCCUGAUUCAUCUCAAGAUUCGCUUUGACUGUUAAACCCUUGUUAGUGUUGAUCUUUUCUUCUCCAGUUUUGGUCUCAUUAAUUCGAGUUUAAUGUAUAUCAGCAGAGUUGGGCAUAUGGUUGAAGUGGUUAUGGGUGAGAUGGACUACAUGAUGUAGGUCAAAAUCUAGUUUGAUGUUAGGUGGGGACAGAUAAUUAAUCAAUUCAUCAUGACACCAUGGGUUGGGUUAGCUCUUAUCCUCAUGGUUGAGUUGGUCUAAUGUGCUAGGUUAGGUUAACACCGGGCUAGUAAUGUCUAAUCUCUUCUAUCAAUAUCACUAAUCUGUUCAAGCAUACCACAUUAGAUUAGGUCACACUAGAUUCCAUAAUCCUAUUUAAGAAUACCAUUUAAUUGAGCAUAUCCAGCUGACUUUAUCUUUACGAAAUCCCAGCAUAUUUUUUUAUACACCUGAAAUUCCUUUUAUGCCAUUAGCAGGUGUGGUAUAGAAACAAGGGUACAUCAUGUUUUAACUAAUAGGUGAGUGUUGACAUAGGAAUAAGUGUACUAUGGCAUAAUCGAGCUUCCUCUGGGGUCCGAACUAGGGACUAUCGGUCGUGGUGUUAGAUGCCAUUAUCCAAGUUGAGAUAACAAUUGCAGUAUAUGGGGUAGGUAGGUUAAAAAAAAUUACUUAGCUUUUGGGAUAAAUGGGUUGGGAAACCUGUAACACCCUAAAUUUGGGGUAUAAAAUUUCUUUGCUCAUAUCCACAAAUUCAGGUGUUAUUCCUCUCAUCUCAUCUCCCCCCAAUCUCUGUUUUUCUCUUUUCUAUAGAAGAAGAGUGGUUAUUUUAUUUAUAAAUGCAAUUAUAAUCUAGUGGGUUAAAAACCCUAAGGGAACAAUGGUUGUUGCAUCAUGUUAGAAAGAUUUGUUUUUUUGUUUGAUGAAUGGUUUGCUUAAUCUUUCAUUUAAUCAUUUGUUUGCGCAUAAUGUCAAACUGAAAUAAAUAGAAAAGAGAAAGAAAAGGAAAAGAAAAGGAAAAAACAGAAUUCAGCCCAACUCCCUCCCUGGCCCAGCUCGGCCGGCCCAGCCGCCCCUUCCCUCUCUCCCCUUUCCCCCGCUCGGCCCACCGCGCCUGCACUCCCUCGCGGGCCCGCGCGCCGCAGCCCAUCCCAGCUUUCCCUCGCGGCGGCCUAGCGCGCCAGCCCCUCUUCCCCCCCCCCCCCCGCGCGCAAGCAGCCAGCGUGCCAGCCCAGCUCCGCGCUCGGCCCACCCAGCGAGCCAGCCCCAGCCCACGCGCGCAAGCAGCCAGCAAGGCAGCCCAGCCGCGACCGCAGCCCAGGCCGCACGCCCAGCCGCGCGUAGCGCGCCCCUGCGCGCAAGCGCUCGCCCGCGUGGAGGCCGCCGCCUGCAUGCGCGCCCACGUCCGCGCACCGCGCGCAGCGGUUCCACGCCUGCCGCUGCCACUACCCAAUGGGGCCCACGCGCCAGGACGCAGGAUGCCACUGUUCGUCUUCUCAGAACCGCCCGUCGCGCAGUUUGUUUCGCCAGACGCACAGUUUUUCCUCCCGAGUGCCCAGUUCCCUCGCCAGCGACCUCGCCAGUGACCUCGUCGUGCUCACGACCAUCGACGCCCCUGCGCAGCGCCUCUUCGCGCCGAGCAGCACCGUGGUCGGGCUCCACUCGCCGCGCAACCGCCAUCGUCGACCUCCGUUCGCCGGCCUCGCUACACCCUGCCCUUAUCGCCGUCGCCGAGGUGAACUCGUCCUCCCUUUCCUCUCUCUACCGCUCGCUUCCUCGCCGCUCACUCGCCAUGGCCGGGGUUCUGCGGAGCCGACCCGGACGCCCAUGUCCCUCUCCAUCCCGUCGGUCCGCAAUCGCCUCGCCGGUCAGCCUCUGCGCGAUCUCCGGCCAGUGCGCAGCCCAGCUCCCUCGCGCGCGGCUGGACUCCCUGCCGUCGCGGCCCGCAACGCGCAGCAAGCCCGACGUCCCGACGUGCAGACCCCACGCGCCUUCGCCUCGUCCCUGCGCGCAGCGGCCGAGUAGCUGCGCACUCGGCGCGCUCAAACCCGUCCCCGUGCCGCGCAGCCCAAGCUCAGCGCGCGCUCGCAGCACGCCUAGUCGCGUUGACGUUUAGCGCCGUAGCAGCCGUUCACCGUCAAACCUCGCCUCUGCGUGUCGCAGCUGCGUUGCUGCGCGCUCGCCGCUGCCCAGCUCGCCCCGGCCGUUCGUCUACCAUCGCCGUGCCUCGCUACAGUUACCUAGCGCAUCGCGUACUCGUCAAGUCUCACGCGCGCAAUUUCGCACGUGAUCACGGGUAUCGCGCGCACCGUCGUCGUUGUUUGUAGAGUCCUCGCGCUGUUUCGCGCGUGUCGCGCGCGCAUUCUGCGCGCAAUAAUUAAUUACUUCGUUAUAAAUCGUCGCGUGUUGUUCGCAUGCGUUGUGCGUGCUGUUCACACGUGUCGUCGUGUGUUUUACGCACGCUAAUAAUUCAUCUCACCUAGAAUAGCUCGCGCUAAGUAAAUAUAUAUUUAAGCAACGGUUAUUCGAACAACACACUAAUCGGGACUAAGUAGUAAUUUUACUCGGCAUGUGAUUGUUGUCUGUUAAUACGAUUAAGCCGAAUUAAAUAUUAUAAUUCAUAUUCGCUUAGUAUACAUGUGAUAUCCCUCGACCGUAGUAUCAGUCGUCUCGGUUCCGUUCUCGCGUAGUCAUAAAUGCGAAUUCUAUGUCGCGUGCAUAUUUAUUUGAUCUAUACUGUUGUAUGGUGUACUGUUUUCUAUCAUUUCAAGAAUGUUGGAUGUAUGUUUGCACUCGCGUAGAUAUCAGGCCGUUCGUGGAGUCUGAGGGAAUUGCAGGAGAAGACCCUGAGCAGCAGCAGCUUGGUGAAGGCAAGUGUCCUCUGACCCAUUAUGUCCUAUUCACUUAUAAUUCACUUUCCCGCAGUAUUUAAUUGAAAUCUAAGGAUUGACUAGCUUUAUACUUUACCUUAUCCUUGAUGACCUUUUGGGUGAUUAUGGUUAGCAUUUUGCUAUUGCCUUAACUUAAUCAAUGAACAUGAUGUGACUAUUUAUGAUACGAUACUGUUAUCCUGAUUAUAUUGUUGAUCUUGUGAUACUCUAGGGGGCUCAGGCUGUUUCCUGAGUACCUCUUCGUAAGGACCUGUUCGUUGAGAGACCACCCGGGAUAACAGUGCAACCAUGAGGGUGGAAUGGGGUGCCCUUAGCUAAUUAAUUAGAGGAACUAGAAGUGUAGUUGCUUCGCCGUCGUGCCGUCAAUGGGGUCCAGGCACAGUGCUUGCUCUGCCGAGGCUGAGUGCCGAGGUUCUUUCGUUUUGUUUUUGUUAGUCACCCUCCUGCGGGGAGAGGUACUGUGUUUAUCAAACUGGAGAAACCUAACGGGCAGCUAUGACCUCUAGGGAAUCUUUGUAAAGGCUUCGUAGUGAAUCCCUGGCCAUUCACCUUGGGAGUGAAUAAGGGUCUUGCAAGCCUGGGCUAGAGAGGGAAUCACGGCUCAUGGGUAAAGUGUGCGACCUCUGCAGAGGGUAGUGAAACUGAUAUAUCAGUCGUGCUCACGGUUAAGAGCAGUCUUGGGAUCCUCUUUGAUUAGAGAUACAAAUGGUUUGAGAUACAAUGGUUCUAUUUAUGAUUUUGGUUCGAUGAUGAUAAUGAUGUUCCUCGAUGAGGAAAUGAUUCACGGGUUAGUUAUUGCUAAAACCUGGCUUCACUAAUAAUAAAUACCUGACCAACUAAAAGCAACUGCUUGAGUCUAACCCCACAUAAAGCUAGUCCACUUCAGCCAAACGGGGCAUUUGCUGAGUACGUUGAUGUGUACUCAUCCUUGCUUUACCACAAAACACCAGGUUGUCCACAUUGCAACCACUGCUCAGGAGAAGACGAAGUCGUGGAAGGCGACUUCCAGGAGUUCCAAGACUACGACGAGUUUUAGGUGUGGGUUGGCGGCAACCCCCAGUCAGCUGCUUGUGAAGGCCUUAUCUUUACUGCGUUUCGCUAGCACUUUGAUUUAACUGUUAAGUUGAUGACUAUGUGGAUGUCUAUGACUCUGUGAUGUAAUAAGUUAAUACUCUUUUAUGUUAUUAUUCGAGCACUGUGCGAUGAUGUUCAUUUAUGUAAUCGCUGUGUACGUGAAUUCUGAUCCUGGCACGUACAUAGUUCGCAUUCGGUUUGCCUUCUGAAACCGGGUGUGACAUAAGUGGUAUCAAAGCCGUGCUGACUGUAGGACCGCUGACCUAGAGUAGCACUGGUCGUACUAAGGACUAUUGACCUUCACCCUCACCUUGACCUCUAGGUCACUUCAAAAGUCGGUCACCUCGACCAACCCUAUGUUUUACUACAUAUAUAUGUAUAUUAUAUUAUACCUUGUUAAAAUUUUAUUUUGUUCUGUCUAUGGUUUACUCACUUGUCAUAUUAGUUCUGUUCUUACUCUCAUGCUUACGGUGUCUUUUGUAGAUGGCUCGACUUAGACACACUGCUCGUAAGUCGGUGAUUCCUUUCCUGCCGUCUCGCCUUGCGGAGCGUCCUCUGCGCCGCACCGUGUCCGGUCAGUCGAGUCACCUGGAGAGGCUGCACCACCGCCUGCGUGAGGAGCAGGAGCGCCAGCGUCAGCACAGAGAGCAGCAGGGCUCUUCCUCCCCACCUGAGCAGGAGGUGGAGUCCGUGAGGCACCGCUCCCCUGUUCCCCAGCUGGAGGCGCCCCCUGCACCACCGCGGGACGCCCCGGCUGUUGGAGGAGCUACUGGAGAAGGUCCUGGAGGAGACCCCGACGACGACGACUCAGACCACAGCACUGAGUCCUCUGAGCCGCAGGAGGCAGAAGGAUGGGUCGCCCGACCCAUCACCCGUGAUGCCGCUCGCGGUUGUCACUUCCACGACGCACUCGACACCUUGCUGCGCCAGGCUUUCGACUGGCACACCUGGUCGAUCGAGUACCGUUGUGUAGUCUACCAGCACAGUCGCGGGAGGUACCCGGACCGCUGGGAGGCUACCUGCCUAGUUCGCCGUUUGUAGGAUGACCUCCAGGGUGCGAAGGCCGUUUCGGAGCACUAUUCCAUCUCCGAGAGGGACACUGCAGAGGCGGCUAUGCAGGAUGCAGCACAGCGUGCACUCUCCCAGUACUGUUCCUUGUUCGGUGGGGUGGCCGACGGUCUUAACCUUAGGUACUACCCCCGCCGUCCUACUGGCAGCACCGAGAGUGUGGUUGUCUCACCUGUUGGUGAGGAUAACCCUAGGUUGAGCAGCACAGUCAACCUAGUCGCGGUGCUUAACACUGAGCUGGAUCACUCUUUGGAUGAGCUGAGCAGGGCUCGAACGGAGAUUGCUGAGUUGCGUGCUGAGCUAGCAGAGCGUCGCCACCAGGAGGGUGGUUCCCCCGCUCCUGUUGGGACUCAGCACCCUUACCGCUCGCCGCCACGUGGUCACCACACUUAUGGUUCCCCUGCCUGUAAGACCAGGAUAGAUCUAGAUCCUUAGAUCGUUAGCGUCGGAGUUUGUAAUAAUCCUUAAGUCAGAUGUCUCAGUCUUAGAUAGUCAGUUUAGUUUGCUUACCAGUUGCUUCCAUUUAGUUUAGUUUGCUUAUCAGUUGCUUACAUGCUUGUUAUGAUGAACUUAUGCUGGAUUUGAAUCUUUGUAAUGUUUGUAGCCAACAUGUGGGUUUCCCCUGCAGUUUGGCUUAGCUAGUAAUGUUAAUGAAGUCAGUUGUUUAGUUGGGAAACUAUUUACUUCUACUUUCCUUUUUAUCUGAGAAGCUGUGUUGAAUCAUAAUGAGGAUCAGUGAAGCUCUUUGUUCACUCAGUGUCAUGAAGAAUUAUGUAUACUCUUUUCUUAUGCUGAAGGAUUGUAAGAUCAAUGCUGAUGUGUGAAUGUCUUCCACAGAUGUCUGACAACAGGCGCCGAUGUAACAGGCGCGCUCAGCAAGAGCAGCGUGCCCAGCAGGAGGAACAUCAGAGGCAGCCUCCCCCGCCACCCCCGAUGACAGUGGAGCAGAUGUUCUUGAUGCAGACUCAGGCAGUGCAGGCUAUUGGGCAGACUCUGGCAGCCAUGCAGCAGGCUCAACAGCAACCCCAACCCCAGUUGCAAGUGCAGAUGCCCCAGAUGCCACGGGAUAAGCGUGGCGAGUUCAUGAGAGGGCACCCUCCUACCUUCGCCCAUUCUACUGACCCCAUGGAUGUAGAAGACUGGCUGCGUGCAAUGGAAAGGGAACUGCGCACCGCCCAAUGUGACGACAGGGAGAAGGUUCUGUAUGGUCCCCGCCAGCUAAGGGGAGCAGCCCAGUCUUGGUGGGAGUCCUACCUCGCUACCCAUGCUGACCCCGAAGCCAUCACCUGGAAAGAAUUCAGCGAGAGUUUCCGCAGGUACCAUGUUCCAGAGGGACUGAUGAUCGUGAAGAAAGAGGAGUUCUUGGCUCUGAGGCAGGGACCCCUGUCUGUUAGUGAAUACAGGGACAAGUUUCUGCAGCUAUCUCGUUAUGCACCUGAAGACGUCAACACUGAUGCUAAAAGACAGUACAGGUUCAUGAGGGGUUUGGUGGAUCCCCUGCAUUACCAGCUGAUGAAUCACACCUUCCCCACCUUCCAGCAUCUGAUCGAUAGGGCAAUCAUGACCGAGAGGAAGCGCAAGGAUAUGGAAGAUCGGAAGCGCAAGAUGAAUGGACCACAGUCCGGGAGCAUCAGCCGCCCCCGCUUCUCAGGAAGUUCAUCUCAGCAAGGCAAGCAUGGUCACCCACAGGGAUAUCAGCAUCAGAGUCAGCGGCCGUAUCAGCAGCAGUUUCAGAGGCAGUACCCACAGCAACAGCAGUAUCGUCAGAACAGCCAGCAGGGAGGUAACCAGUAUCAGAGGCAGAAAAAUCAGGCACCUCGCCUUCCUGCCCCAGCAGCAAAUCAGAACAACCAAGCAGCCCCAGCACAAGGAGGAGGCAGAGGAUGUUUCCACUGUGGAGAACAAGGCCACUAGGCGAUGCAGUGCCCAAAGAAGAUGGCGCAGCAGCAGGCCAACCCCAAUGCUCCAACAAGGCAAGGUGUACCUCAACAGGCACCAGGUAAUCGUGGCCAAGCGUACAACCGUGGGAAGGUGAACCACUUGGAGGCCGAAGCGAUCCAGGAUGCACCAGAUGUGGCAGUAGGUAUGUUCUCAGUCGAAUCUCAUCCCGCAAAAGUGCUAUUUGAUACUGGUGCAACUCAUUCAUUUGUCACUGCAACAUGGGUAGAAAUGCAUAACAUCUCAGUAGAGGCAAUGAUGCCGCCCAUGAGGAUUAAUUCGGUUGGUGGUAAAGUGCAAGCAGAUAGAAUAUGCUCAAAUAUAAGGGUGGAAAUAAGGGGGAUAGGGUUCCCCAGUGAUCUAAUAGUAAUAGACACCCCUGGGGUAGAUGUCAUCCUAGGGAUGAAUUGGUUAAUGAAGUAUGAAGCGAAUGUUAGCUGUGACAAGAGGACCGUAACAUUGAAGUCCCCAUCUGGAGAGGAGGUAGUGGCUGAGCUAAGGAUGCCUAAAUCAGCGGAGGGAGAUUGUCACCAGAUUUCAGUUGAUAGUAAGGAGGCCAACCCGCUUGAGGCUAUCAAGGUUGUGUCGGACUUUCCGGAGGUGUUUCCCGAGGAACUAACGGGCAUGCCACCCGAGAGAAAAGUCGAAUUUGCCAUAGAGCUUAUCCCUGGUACCGCCCCCAUUUCUAAAAGAGCCUAUCGAGUGUCUGGACCAGAAUUGGUGGAACUCAAGAAGCAAGUUGAUGAGCUGUUAGAAAAGGGUUACAUCAGACCAAGUACCUCGCCUUGGGCCGCUCCAGUAUUGUUUGUAGAGAAGAAAGAUGGUACCAAAAGGAUGUGCAUAGAUUACAGAGCCCUGAAUGAAGUCACUAUUAAGAACAAGUACCCCCUGCCAAGAAUAGAAGAUCUGUUUGACCAACUCAGAGGUGCCAGCGUAUUCUUGAAGAUAGAUCUGAGAUCAGGUUACCAUCAACUCAGAAUCCGACCCUCGGACAUACCGAAGACAACAUUCAUCACCAAGUAUGGGUUAUAUGAGUAUACAGUUAUGUCCUUUGGUUUGACAAAUGCACCAGCCUUCUUUAUGUAUCUGAUGAACAGUGUGUUCAUGGACUACCUAGACAAGUUUGUGGUAGUGUUCAUCGACGAUAUUCUCAUAUAUUCCAAAAGUGAGGAAGAACAUGUGGAGCAUUUGAAGAUGGUAUUGCAAAGGCUACGAGAGCAUCAGUUGUAUGCCAAGCUGAGUAAAUGCGAGUUCUGGAUUCAUGAAGUCUUGUUUCUGGGUCACAUCAUAAACCAAGAUGGGUUAGCGGUGGAUCCAAAGAAAGUAGCAGAUAUCCUGAACUGGAAAGCACCGAAGGAUGUUCGUGGGAUCAAGAGCUUCAUUGGAAUGGCCGGAUACUAUAGGCGUUUCAUUGAAGGCUUUUCAAAGAUUGCUAGACCAAUGACAACGUUACUAGCGAAGAAAGUUGAGUUUAAGUGGACCCAAAAGUGUCAAGAAGCAUUUGAAGAACUAAAGAAUAGAUUGACUACAGCACCUGUGUUAGUUCUGCCUGAUGUUCAUAAGCCAUUCUCGGUGUACUGCGAUGCUUCUUACACCGGAUUGGGAUGUGUGCUAAUGCAAGAAGGAAGAGUUGUGGCAUACUCAUCUCGACAACUGAAGAUCCAUGAAAAAAAUUAUCCCACACACGACCUGGAGUUGGCAGCAGUGGUUCAUGCUUUAAAGACAUGGAGACAUUACCUGUAUGGGCAGAAGUGCGACAUCUACACAGAUCAUAAAAGUUUGAAGUACAUAUUCACCCAGUCAGAGUUAAACAUGAGGCAGCGAAGAUGGUUGGAAUUGAUCAAAGACUACGAGUUGGAGAUACAUUACCAUCCAGGCAAGGCCAAUGUUGUUGCAGAUGCUCUGAGCAGGAAGAGUCAAGUCAAUAUGAUGGCUACGUACCUAAUGUCAUAUGAGUUAGCCAAAGAGUUCGACAGACUGAGUCUCGGUUUCCUGAACAGUACACAAGGAGUAACAGUGGAAUUAGAGCCCACCCUAGAGUGGGAGAUCAAAGAAGGGCAGAAAGAUGAUGAAAACAUCAACAAUAUCCGGCAGCUGAUCUUAGAAGGAAGAGGCAAAGACUUUCGAGAGGAUGAAGAGGGAGUAAUAUGGUUCAAGGACCGAUUGUGUGUUCCCGACAUCAAACCUAUUCGGGAGCUGAUCCUAAAGGAAGCUCAUGAGACAGCCUACUCCAUACACCCUGGAAGUGAAAAGAUGUAUCAGGAUUUAAAAAGGAGAUUUUGGUGGUAUGGCAUGAAAAGAGAAAUCGCAGAAUAUGUCGCCAUCUGUGAUAGCUGUCAAAGAACCAAAGCAGAGCAUCAAAGGCCCGCCGGACUGUUGUAGCCAUUACAGAUUCCUCAGUGGAAGUGGGAUGAGAUCGGGAUGGAUUUUAUAGUUGGCCUACCUCGUACCCGGGCCGGCUAUGAUUCCAUUUGGGUGGUUGUGGACCGCUUAACAAAGGUAGCCCAUUUUAUACCUAUGAAGACAACGUACACCGGAGCAGCGUUAGCUGAGUUAUACAUGUCUCGGAUAGUCUGCCUUCAUGGUGUGCCGAAGAAGAUAGUGUUAGAUCGAGGAACACAAUUUACCUCUCAUUUCUGGCAGCAGCUACAAGAAGCUUUGGGCACGCAUUUGAACUUCAGCUCGACUUAUCACCCGCAGACAGACGGUCAGACUGAAAGAACCAAUCAGAUCCUAGAAGAUAUGCUGAGAGCCUGUGCGUUGCAAGACAAGUCAGGAUGGGACAAAAGGUUACCUUACGCAGAAUUUUCCUACAACAAUAGUUACCAGGCCAGCCAGAAGAUGUCACCGUUUCAGGCGCUCUAUGGACGGAGUUGUAGGACUCCGCUGCAUUGAGACCAGCCUGGAGAGAGACAAGUGUUUGGCCCCGACAUUUUGCUUGAAGCCGAAGAGAAUAUCAAAAUGGUUCGGGAGAAUCUGAAGAUAGCACAAUCAAGGCAGCGAAGCUAUGCGGACAGAAGGAGAAGAGAACUGAGUUUUGAAGUGGGAGACUACGUCUAUCUGAAGGUGUCACCUAUCAGAGGAGUCAGAAGGUUCGGAGUCAAAGGCAAGCUAGCACCCCGGUACGUUGGACCAUAUCAGAUUCAAGCAAAGCGUGGAGAAGUGGCCUACCAGCUCAACCUACCAGAAAGUUUGUUGGCGGUGCACAAUGUGUUCCACGUGUCGCAAUUGAAGAAGUGUCUGCGAGUACCAGAAGAACAGUUGCCAGUGGAGGACUUGGAAGUCCAAGAGGAUCUGACCUACAUAGAGAAGCCAACGCAGAUUCUGGAGUUUGCAGACAGAGUCACCCGGAGGAACACCAUCAGAAUGUGCAAAGUCAGAUGGGGCCACCACUCUGAGGAAGAAGCAACCUGGGAACGAGAAGAUGAUCUGAAAGCCAAAUACCUCGAACUCUUUGCUGACAAACCUUGAAUCUCGGGGCGAGAUUCUUUUAAGGGGGAUAGGUUUGUAACACCCUGAAUUUGGGGUAUAAAAUUUCUUUGCUCAUAUCCACAAAUUCAGGUGUUAUUCCUCUCAUCUCAUCUCCCCCCAAUCUCUGUUUUUCUCUUUUCUAUAGAAGAAGAGUGGUUAUUUUAUUUAUAAAUGCAAUUAUAAUCUAGUGGGUUAAAAACCCUAAGGGAACAAUGGUUGUUGCAUCAUGUUAGAAAGAUUUGUUUUUUUUGUUUGAUGAAUGGUUUGCUUAAUCUUUCAUUUAAUCAUUUGUUUGCGCAUAAUGUCAAACUGAAAUAAAUAGAAAAGAGAAAGAAAAGGAAAAGAAAAGGAAAAAACAGAAUUCAGCCCAACUCCCUCCCUGGCCCAGCUCGGCCGGCCCAGCCGCCCCUUCCCUCUCUCCCCUUUCCCCCCGCUCGGCCCACCGCGCCUGCACUCCCUCGCGGGCCCGCGCGCCGCGGCCCAUCCCAGCUUUCCCCCGCGGCGGCCUAGCGCGCCAGCCCCUCUUCCCCCCGCGCGCGCAAGCAGCCAGCGCGCCAGCCCAGCUCCGCGCUCGGCCCACCCAGCGAGCCAGCCCCAGCCCACGCGCGCAAGCAGCCAGCAAGGCAGCCCAGCCGCGACCACAGCCCAGGCCGCACGCCCAGCCGCGCGUAGCGCGCCCCUGCGCGCAACCGCUCGCCCGCGUGGAGGCCGCCGCCGCCGCCUGCAUGCGCGCCCACGUCCGCGCACCGCGCGCAGCGGUUCCGCGCCUGCCGCUGCCACUACCCAAUGGGGCCCACGCGCCAGGACGCAGGAUGCCGCUGUUCGUCUUCUCAGAACCGCCCGUCGCGCAGUUUGUUUCGCCAGACGCACAGUUUUUCCUCCCGAGUGCCCAGUUCCCUCGCCAGCGACCUCGCCAGUGACCUCGUCGUGCUCACGGCCAUCGACGCCCCUGCGCAGCGCCUCUUCGCGCCGAGCAGCACCGUGGUCGGGCUCCACUCGCCGCGCAACCGCCAUCGUCGACCUCCGUUCGCUGGCCUCGCUACACCCUGCCCUUAUCGCCGUCGCCGAGGUGAGCUCGUCCUCCCUUUCCUCUCUCUACCGCUCGCUUCCUCGCCGCUCACUCGCCAUGGUCGGGGUUCUGCUGAGCCGACCCGGACGCCCAUGUCCCUCUCCAUCCCGUCGGUCCGCAAUCGCCUCGCUGGUCAGCCUCUGCGCGAUCUCCGGCCAGUGCCCAGCCCAGCUCCCUCGCGCGCGGCUGGACUCCCUACCGUCGCGGCCCGCAGCGCGCAGCAAGCCCGGCGUCCCGACGUGCAGACCCCGCGCGCCUUCGCCUCGUCCCUGCACGCAGCGACCGAGUAGCUACGCACUCGGCGCGCUCAAACCCGUCCCCAUGCCGCGCAGCCCAAGCUCAGCGCGCGCUCGCAGCACGCCCAGUCGCGUUGACGUUUAGCGCCGUAGCAGCCGUUCGCCGUCAAACCUCGCCUCUGCGCGUCGCAGCUGCGUUGCUGCGCGCUCGCUGCUGCCCAGCUCGCCCCGGUCGUUCGUCUACCAUCGCCGUGCCUCGCUACAGUUACCUAGCGCAUCGCGUACUCGUCAAGUCUCACGCGCGCAAUUUCGCACGUGAUCACGGGUAUCGCGCGCACCGUCGUCGUUGUUUGUAGAGUCCUCGCGCUGUUUCACGCGUGUCGCGCGCGCAUUCUGCGCGCAAUAAUUAAUUACUUCGUUAUAAAUCGUCGCGUGUUGUUCGCGCGCGUUGUGCGUGCUGUUCACACGUGUCGUCGUGCGUUUUACGCACGCUAAUAAUUCAUCUCACCUAGAAUAGCUCGCGCUAAGUAAAUAUAUAUUUAAGCAACGGUUAUUCGAACAACACACUAAUCGGGACUAAGUAGUAAUUUUACUCGGCAUGUGAUUGUUGUCCGUUAAUACGAUUAAGCCGAAUUAAAUAUUAUAAUUCAUAUUCGCUUAGUAUACAUGUGAUAUCCCUCGACCGUAGUAUCAGUCGUCUCGGUUCCGUUCUCGCGUAGUCAUAAAUGCGAAUUCUAUGUCGCGUGCAUAUUUAUUUGAUCUAUACUGUUGUAUGGUGUACUGUUUUCUAUCAUUUCAAGAAUGUUGGAUGUAUGUUUACACUCGCGUAGAUAUCGGGCCGUUCGUGGAGUCUGAGGGAAUUGCAGGAGAAGACCCUGAGCAGCAGCAGCUUGGUGAAGGCAAGUGUCCUCUGACCCAUUAUGUUCUAUUCACUUAUAAUUCACUUUCCCGCAGUAUUUAAUUGAAAUCUAAGGAUUGACUAGCUUUAUACUUUACCUUAUCCUUGAUGACCUUUUGGGUGAUUAUGGUUAGCAUUUUGCUAUUGCCUUAACUUAAUCAAUGAACAUGAUGUGACUAUUUAUGAUACGAUACUGUUAUCCUGAUUAUAUUGUUGAUCUUGUGAUACUCUAGGGGGCUCAGGCUGUUUCCUGAGUACCUCUUCGUAAGGACCUGUUCGUUGAGAGACCACCCGGGAUAACAGUGCAACCAUGAGGGUGGAAUGGGGUGCCCUUAGCUAAUUAAUUAGAGGAACUAGAAGUGUAGUUGCUUCGCCGUCGUGCCGUCAAUGGGGUCCAGGCACAGUGCUUGCUCUGCCGAGGCUGAGUGCCGAGGUUCUUUCGUUUUGUUUUUGUUAGUCACCCUCCUGCGGGGAGAGGUACUGUGUUUAUCAAACUGGAGAAACCUAACGGGCAGCUAUGACCUCUAGGGAAUCUUUGUAAAGGCUUCGUAGUGAAUCCCUGGCCAUUCACCUUGGGAGUGAAUAAGGGUCUUGCAAGCCCGGGCUAGAGAGGGAAUCACGACUCAUGGGUAAAGUGUGCGACCUCUGCAGAGGGUAGUGAAACUGAUAUAUCAGCCGUGCUCACGGUUAAGAGCAGCCUUGGGAUCCUCUUUGAUUAGAGAUACAAAUGGUUCGAGAUACAAUGGUUCUAUUUAUGAUUUUGGUUCGAUGAUGAUAAUGAUGUUCCUCGAUGAGGAAAUGAUUCACGGGUUAGUUAUUGCUAAAACCUGGCUUCACUAAUAAUAAAUACCUGACCAACUAAAAGCAACUACUUGAGCCUAACCCCACAUAAAGCUAGUCCACUUCAGCCAAACGGGGCAUUUGCUGAGUACGUUGAUGUGUACUCAUCCUUGCUUUACCACAAAACACCAGGUUGUCCACAUUGCAACCACUGCUCAGGAGAAGACGAAGUCGUGGAAGGAGACUUCCAGGAGUUCCAAGACUACGACGAGUUUUAGGUGUGGGUUGGCGGCAACCCCCAGUCAGCUGCCUGUGAAGGCCUUAUCUUUACUGCGUUUCGCUAGCACUUUGAUUUAACUGUUAAGUUGAUGACUAUGUGGAUGUCUAUGACUCUGUGAUGUAAUAAGUUAAUACUCUUUUAUGUUAUUAUUCGAGCACUGUGCGAUGAUGUUCAUUUAUGUAAUCGCUGUGUACGUGAAUUCUGAUCCUGGCACGUACAUAGUUCGCAUUCGGUUUGCCUUCUGAAACCGGGUGUGACAAAACCUAUAACAUAGGCUAGGUCGAGGUUUCACGGACGAGUUGGUCUAGGACACAAAUUUAGGGUUUGAACACAUUUUGUCGGCGUUUCGAACCCGGGGGGGUCCCUGGACCGACUAGUAAAUUUGUCGCUGCGUGCCCCUGCCCAGAUGGGUUGGUGCGAGAUGGAACACAAGGGGGAAUGAGACUUGUAUUAUCCUGCACCAGGGUGCUUGUAGUAGGGGAUACAAGCACGUCGCGGGAGAGAGAGAGGGAGCCUGUUCGUUAGCUCGUCCCUCCACGCGAACCCUCCUCCAGGAAGGCCUUGGACCUCCCUUUUAUAGAUGCAAGGAGAGGGUCCAGAUGUACAAUGGGGGGUGUAGCUAGGUGCUAACAUGUCCGACAGAGAGGUGCCUGAGCCCUGUGUACAUGCCAACGUGGCUGUCGGGGGAGAGCCUGAGCCUUGUAUGCGUGAUAACGUGGCCGUCGGGGGAGAGCCUGAGCCCUGUAUGCAUGAUAACGUGGCCGUCGGAGAAAUGCCUGAGCCCUGUAUGAAGCACAACUAGCGGUGCAGCUGGGACCCUGUUGACGUCUCCUUGAUGUCGUAAGGGGCUGAGAACCACCGACGUCAUGGCCGCACGCGGGGCAUCAUCAUUACCCGUUGCCGGGGUAAGCUAGAUAGGACGCCGGUCUUGUCCCUUGUAUCCCGAGCUAGCUAGGAGCAGGGUAAUGAUGUUUCCCCUGUGGCGCGGUCGGUCCGAGCCCAAGGUCGGGCGAGGCGGAGACUUCUCCUGAGGCCGAGGCCGGGGUCGGGGUCGGGCGAGGACGCGAUUCCUCCCGAGGUCGAGGCAGAGUCCAAGUCUUGGGGCGCGUGUGUCAGGAUAUGACGUCGUGGUUGGCACAACAGUCGGAGCGGUUGGCACAGCAGUCGGAGCGGGGCGAACGACGCUGUUUUCUGUCAAGUCAAUCAGUAAAGGGGGCGAAGUGACUGCGGUCACUUCGGCCCUACCGACUGAGGCGCGUGUGUCAGGAUACGGCGUCAGGCGAUCCUCGCAUUGAAUGCACCUGCGACGCUGUCGGUUGGUGAGGCGGUUUGGCCAAGGUUGCUUCACAGCGAAGCCUGCCCGAGCCGGGCUUCGGGAGAGCCGAGGGUGUGCUCACUGCCUGAGGAGGCCCUCGGGUGAGGCGUGAAGUCGUCCGGGACUACUGUUCCCGCCCGAGGCUGGGCUCGGGCGAGAUCGCGCCCUUUGGGUAGACGAAGCCUUGACUUGAACUGUGCCCAUCAGUCCUUAUGGUUUGUCCUGAUGGUGUCUACCAGCCGUUUUUAGGAGUGUUGGGGGUACCCCUAAUUACGAUACCUGACAGUAGCCCCCGAGCCUCAAAGGGAGUGUUGGUACUCGCUUGGAGGCUCUGCCGCAUUUUUGGUGAGGGGUCCGGCCUUUCUCGAUUAUACUUUGUUCCGGCGGGUGCGCGCGAGCGCACCCGCCGGGUGUAGCCCCCGAGGCCUCGGAGGAGUGGUUUGACUCCUCUGAGGUCUUAAAUGCUUUUCGUGAUGCCUCGGCCGGCCUGGUCGUUCCCUCAUGCGGCCUGGCCGUAGCCCGGGUGCAUGGUCAGGUUCCAAGUUUUCAAGGUGGUUUGUUGACGCUGUCAACAGUUUGGCCGCAGCCGGGUGCGAGAGCAGCCCCCGAGCCUCUGCACGGAGCGAGAGGAUGAUCAAGGACUGUCUCGACUUUUGUUAUACGCCCCUUUGUCGCCUUUCCACAAGGAGGAAGGGGGGAAGCGCCAUGUUGCCCUCGAAGGGCGCCGAACAUGGUGUUUCCGGUGAGUUGCUAACGGGUGAUCCGAGUGGACGCCCGUGCCCCGUUCGUUAGGGGUCGGCUAGUGGCCCAGAGGCGUGCUCCAAAAGUACCUGCAGGUGAUUCGCUGGACCCGGCCCCUUUUUUACAGGGUCCGAGGGCUCGAUGCCUCCCUCCGGUGGGAUUCCAUUACAAAUCGUUCCCGCUGGUCUCGGAAAUGUCCUAGGGUACCUUGGGAGCGUAGCCCGAGCCUCGGCCAUGUAACAGACGUACCCAGAGUCAUCCCUCACUCUGCAUGCUCUGGGGCGGCUGUCGAACCCUUCCGAGGGGCCAACCUUCGAACCCCUUAUCAGUAAUGGGUAUGGAGCCCGAGUGCUCUAAGGCGUCUGUCGAACCCUUCCGAGGGGCUAGCCUUCGAACCCCUGAUUAGUAAUGGGCGCAAAGCCCGAGUGCUCUGGGGCGGCUGUCGAAACCCUUUCGAGGGGCCAGCCUUCGAACCCCUGAUCAGUAGGGGGCUCGGGGCCCGCUUCCAUCGCCGAGAAGGAUCCUUUCCGAGACAUCCCCUUUCCCGGUCCCUGUGGCAAGAGAGAGAAAGAGGAAGCAGAAAAGGAUACACAUUUAAAUAAGGCGGCACACCUUUUUUGACGCGGUCAUCAUGGCGGAGGUGAAACGACGCCCACCUCUCUUGCCAGAGAUGUCGCUUGCCCUGCCGGGGAGUUAAUGCGAUGGGACGAGCGAUUCGCGGGGCGACCGUUGCGCGUGCGCGAGCCGUUCGAGGAACGGAACAGAGGCGCGUUGUCUUCACACCGUGGGAGAGGGCUUUCCUGCCGCUUCAGGAGGGGACGCGAGCCUGUAGGUGAUUUGACCGCUGCCUCCACUCAUCUACCGCUGCAAUUACUGUCGGCCCACUUUUGGCCAUGCCAACCGUCGUGCCUAUCCACGCGGCUGACUGACCUGUGAUUGUUGCACUUAAUGGGCACUGCUGGGUCACGCGCAGGGCUGCCUCGAGUCGCGGCGCCGGUUCCGCAGUCGAGAAGGCGCGGCGUUGGCGCAAGUGGCGGUGCGGUUUCUUGCACGUCGUAACCGGCGUGCCGGUUACAUGACGCGUGGGUCCGGGCCUCCAUGCUGGAUCGCCAGAUGUGAUGAAGCCGAAAGGGCACACAAUCGUGGUGCGGUUGGAUGCCUGUCGUGUAGCGGUCCACCCUUUUGACCGCUGGUUUCGGCGAGGAUGGGGGAGUGCUUGUAACCGCGGGAUGGUUACAUGCUUCGCGUGCGGCAGUUCGCCUCCUUCACGCUUCGGAUCAGCUCGCAUGACGUGUGGGACCCAGCCCCCAUGUCGUAGGGGGAGGAACCCUGGAGCACGUCGGUGGAGACUUCGCCCGUGACGCUUGGGGAUGCGAGUGAGGAGAGCCGCCUUUAAAAGGGGGGCGAUCCCCUGGGCAGUAGCCAUGCCUUCACACUCCGCUCAUGCAUUGCGCCCUUCCACCUUUCGAGCCCCCAUAUGGGGCGCACCGGCGUUGCCUUCCCCUUGCUUGUUGUUGGAGGAGCGCGACCUCGUGGGGGUUGGCGUCCUUCAGCCAUCGCUUGGCUUCAAGGAUUUUCAUCAUGCAGCCCGGCUGCAGUCCCUCACCAAUGGUCAUCCAGGACGAUGACCACCAGCUUCGUGGUGGGGAGAAGCAAGCCGGGCUGCGGCCUCUGCCCCGCCCUCAGCUUCAAGGAUGUUCAUCAUCCGUGCUGGGGAGGGGGGUGCGGCAAUUCAGGGCCUGCCUCCGCGUGGGCCGGCGACCCGCUUCUUCCUCCAGCAUUCGAGGGAGAAUGGCAUCCUCCAGCCCUACGGAGGUGACGUCCUCCAGCCAUGCGGGGGAAGGCGAACUGCUGCUGCCUGGCCAGGGUGUAGCUGUCCGUCCUCCACCCAGGCGACGGUCGCGCCGUGCGCAGGUGGCUGCCGUCACCGUCCCUGCGGAGGGGGCGGACUUCGACAACGCGGGUCCGGUCGGCGGCAAGCGUCGUCAGCUCCAGCGUGCCUGUCAUGCUGGCUCAGCUGGCUCUGGCACCGCCUCCGACGCUGCCUCCUGCCGCUCGGUCUGCGCGGAAGUCGGCGCUGGCCCGUCUGCAAGGACUUGAGUGGGGAUCUGCCGACGCAGGCUGGGGCGACCGCCAUUCGUCGGCGUGGCGCUGGCGUGCAGGUGGCCGCUGUCAUCGAUGCUGAAGUGGUGGCAGAAGUAGGAGGUUGUCUCCACUGACGAGACCGUCGGUGCCACCGGCGGUCGGACCUCUGGCUCUUUGGCUUCGACGGCUUGUCCUCGCCCCUCGUGUGGGGACGAGGGCGAGGACUUUCUCAUAGCAGCGGUUGCCCUGAGGUCAUCGCUGCUGCUGUUUAGCCGCCUGAGGCGGAGGUCGUUGUCGCUGCUGCUGGAGCGGUCGCCGGUGAUCCACCUGGAGUUUGUUAUCCCGCAGGCCCCCCAGUGUGGAGGUUGUUCAUACCUGCGGGAAUGGAACCGGAGUCCCGUUUGUAGGGGAUAUACUAGGUUUUUGCCUAAGCAAAAUGUAACUGCUUCAAAUACUUAGACGUUUGUCGUGGGUCGGCAGAACCGCCGAGGGUCCUGCCGACGUCUAAGUCUAUGUAGCAUAGUCACCCCAAGUAUAUGUGUUUGUUCUUUGUGGCUGUCGAGGCCUGAACAUUUGGGUAUUCGAGUAUAAAGCUGCGUCUCUUCCUCAUUUCAAGCACUAGGACUUGCCUGUCGGUGGCCGAACCACUUAACCGAGCGUGAGUUGCCUUGCGCGGAAGGUGACGAGUGAGGUAUCCAUAUCCCAGAGGCGUAGGAGUCCCUCGGCUCGGUCGGCCUUGCCGCUUAAAGCUUCUCUUGCUUGGUUUUAAAACCUUUGACCGCUCUGCGAUGAGCUGGAGCCGGAGGCAACGGUGUUGGUGUGGACAGAGGCGGUGUCGGCUCGAAAAGAGGCUUCGUCGACCCGGGAGCACGUGGCCUCCCAGGCUGAGGAGAUGCAGCAGCGGACGCUGGAGCUCGGCCAGGUCAUCCGCGAGCGGGAUCAACCUUGGAGUCAAGUUGCUGAGGCCGUGAGCCGGGCUGAGGUCCUCGGGGGACAGCUGGCUGAGGCUACGGAGCGGCUAGCCGGGGCGUCUGCUAGGGCCAGAACCCUUGCGGAGAGCCUGGCCGUGGGGGCUCGAGCGCGGUGCUGGCGUCCUCCUUUGAGGUGGGGAUCCUUCCGCCCGUGUCGCCGUCUGAGGCCGGGCCAGAUUCCGCCGAGGGUGGAAACGACAUCGAGGGUGCUGCUGCUCCCCCUGUCGAUGUCCGAACCUGCAGGAACAGUUUGUCUGAAGUAUGCGUAUGUUUUUCGCGGCCGCCGAGGCCUGAACACUUUAUCAUUGUGUUAUAAAGCUGCGUUUUCUUUCCUCUCGUUUCGAGUAUCAGGACUUGUUCGUCGGUAGCAGAAUCACUUAUCUGAGCGAGAGUUACUUUUCGCGAAAGGUGAUGAGUGAGGUAUCCAUAUCCCGGAGGCGUAGGAGUCCCUCGGCUCGGUCGGCCUUGCCGCUUACGUGCACUCUCAUUCGGUUGUAGGAUUCUAUUAUCGAUAUAGUCGAGAAGGCACGAAAGUCGUUUUCUACCCGAGCGUUAGGACUUGUUCGGUAGCAGGAUCGCUUAUCCGAGCGUGAGAUACUUUUCACGGAAGGUGAUGAGUGAGGUAUCCGUAUCCCAGAGGCGUAGGAGUUCCUCGGCUCGGUCGGCCUUGCCGUUUACAUGUACUCUCGUCGUUUUUAGGAUCCUGUUAUCGAUAUGGAAGUCGAAAGCACAAAAGUCGUUUUCGGUGGAAAACGUUUCUUGGUAGAAAACUUUUCCAAGGAAAAUUUUUGAUGCAGAGGGGGUUCCCCCUUCUAGCCCUUGAGGGAGGGUCGGGCUUUGCCGAGGCAAGGCUGACCCUUCCUUGACGGUUAGACUUUAUGUAAAGAAAACGAGGUACAUAACGACUUGAAACAUUUUAAGGGUAGAAGCGACGUAGCUGUUGGAUGUUCCAAGCGUUGCUGUAGACCUCGCCUUGAUUGUUGGCCAGCUUGUAUGUCCCUGGCUUCAAAAUCUCGGCGAUGAUGAACGGCCCUUCCCAGGGAGGAGUAAGCUUGUGGCGUCCUCGGGCGUCUUGUCACAGCCGAAGCACCAAGUCUCCCACUUGGAAGCCUCGGGGUCGAACCCUUCGGGCGUGGUAGCGUCGCAGAUACUGCUGAUACCGUGCCGAAUGUAGUAAGGCCAUGUCCCGAGUUUCUUCGAGCUGGUCCAGUGAGUCCUCUCGGCUGGUCUGGUUGCUUCGGUUGUCGUAUGCCUUUGUCCUUAGGGAACCGUAUUCUAAGUCUGUGGGGAGGACGGCCUCGGCCCCAUAGACGAGAAAGAACGGCGAGAAACCCGUGGCUCGGCUCGGCGUCGUCCUCAGACUCCAGACUACCGAGGGUAGCUCUUUCAUCCACCGUUUGCCGAACUUGUUGAGUUUGUUGUAAAUCCUCGGUUUAAGUCCCUGCAAAAUCAUACCGUUGGCACGCUCCACCUGCCCAUUCGUCAUGGGGUGAGCUACGGUGGCCCAGUCCACACGGAUGUGGUGGUCCUCGCAGAAGUCCAGGAAUUUCUUCCCGGUGAACUGCGUGCCAUUAUCGGUGAUGAUGGAGUUCGGGACCCCAAAGCGAUGGAUGAUGUUUGUGAAGAACGCCACCGCCUGCUCGGACUUGAAGCUGGUCAAGGGUCGGACCUCGAUCCACUUGGAGAAUUUGUCGAUGGCGACCAGCAGGUGCGAGAAGCCCCCGGGUGCCUUCUGCAAGGGACCGACGAGGUCCAGACCCCACACGGCGAACGACCAGGUGAUGGGUAUCGUCUGCAGGGCCUGAGCAGGCAGGUGCGUCUGCCUUGCGUAUAAUUGACACCCUUGGCAGGAGCGUACAAUCCUAGUGGCGUCGGCUACUACGGUCGGCCAGUAGAAACCUUGUCGGAAGGCGUUUCCCACGAGGGCUCGAGGUGCUGCGUGGUGACCACAAGCCCUCGAGUGUAUUUCUUGCAGCAGCUCUUGUCCUUGGGCGACGGAUAUGCAUCGUUGGAGAAUGCCCGAGGGGCUGCGGUGAUAGAGCUCCUUUUCAUCACCCAGUAAGACGAACGACUUGGCGCGCCGAGCCAGUCGCCGAGCUUCGGCCUUGCCGAGGGGUAGCUCUCCUUGGAGGAGAUAUUCCAGGUACGGGGUCUGCCAGUUCGGGUUUGGCGUGACCCCAUUCCGCUCUCCCUCGACGCACAGGCCUCACCCUCGGCGGCCGAGGAUACCGUCGUCCGCCCCGAGGCUAUUUUAGCCAGCUCGUUCGCAGUCUCGUUGUACCAUUGAGCGAUGUGGUUGAGCUCCAGCCCGUAGAACUUGUCUUCCAGGCGCCGAACUUCGUCGCAGUAUGCCUCCAUCCUUCGGUCGUGGCAGUGGGAGUUCUUCAUGACUUGGUCAAUGACAAGCUGCGAGUCGCCACGAGCGUCGAGGCACCGAACCCCUAGCUCGACGGCGAUGCGCAACCCGUUAACCAAAGCCUCGUACUCGGCCACGUUGUUUGACGCCGGGAAAUGGAGGCGUAUCACGUAGCGAAGAUGCUUUCCGAGGGGUGAAACGAAGAGCAAGCUAGCGCCUGCUCCUGUCUUCAUGAGUGACCCGUCGAAGUACAUGGUGUCGGUGUUUUGGGUCCGACCGCACACCCGGGGUUGCCCCUCAAGGUGUUUUUAGGAGUAGGACGGUGUCAACGACUGUAGCAAAAUGGUUCGUGCCGGUCGCACGAGGGACAAUGUGUGACACCCCAGGUGUCAGUUUCGUGUUAUGACGGGAGAUUAAUCCUAAUCUCGGAUGCUCAGUAAAAAUUUCUCUUUCUCACUCGCGUAUGUCUCUGAUUAUCCAGAUUAUUCAUUCACAUUUCGCCGAAUUCGGAAUUAUUCGAUCUCACAUAAGGCCAAUUUGGAGCCUGUUAAAAACUUUUAUUCUCGACGAAUGCAAACUCGGGAAUCAUUCUCGAUUUAUAAAUCUUGUCUAAAGCUCGUUUAAUCAAGCGCUCGACAGUUGCUAGUCGAGCUGUGUCCGAAUCCAAUUUCUCGAUGUUCGAUCGAUGUCCGACUAUUUUAUCCGAGUCCGUACUCUCAAACGGAAUACUCAGUCUGUCGUCCUCUAAUUAAUUUCUAUCCGAUUCGGCUUAAUAUCUCUGUAUCCAAUCCGAUUUCAAAAUCAACAUCGGCAACGAUUUUUAAAUAUCACGAUUCGCUUUCUCCGACUAAAAAUCCAAAGUCGAUCGAAUCUCAGGACGAUUUAUUUUCCAAUCACACGUAGGGAAUUAAUUUUCGAGCAAAUUCAAAACAGACUCUCGGCCGAGUUAAUCGCGCAACUUUCCGUUCGUCCGAACUCUUUUCGCUCUGUUUCUCAGUAGCGACGAAUUCCGCAGGAACAUUUUAGUCCGGAAAAUAUUUAGCGCGACCCAAUUUAGUGUUUUGGGCCAAAUCUAGCCCGGCCCAAUUAGGCCCAUUUGAAACCCUAACCCUAGCCCAUGUCUAUAAAUAGGAGCUCUCUCCCCUUGCCCUUGGGCUAUUUUGCAUUCCCACCCCUCAUUUUUUUCCAGCCGCCACCGCAGCCUCCCUGUCUUCUUCUCCAUCGCGCAGCAGGCAUCCCACGGCAGCAGCAGCAGGGAGCCGUGCUCCCCUCCAUGGCGAGCAGCAAGCUGGCGCCCCUGCUCCUUCUUCCUCGGCGCUGAAGCUCCUCCCUGGCGUCCAUGGCGCCGGCGUAUCUCCAGCCGCCCCCUGCUCCUUGUUCCACGCGCAGCAGCCACGCGCAGGAAGUAAGGCCAGCAGCCAUGGCGAUUUCCCCUGCGAGCUCCCCUCUCUCCCAUGGCUGACCCUCUGCUCCCUGCACUUGGCGUCCUUGCAGCAGGCGAGCUCAGCUCCACCUCCCUGCGCUCAGCUCAUCUCCCUUGCCCAGCGCCCUCCCUCCUCUCUGUUUUUCCUUGAGCUCACGUGCAGGGAACGACGCCCUUUCUCCUCCACUGCGCUCGACGCCUAGCCCCUUUUCUAUGGCUUGGACGCAGCAGGAGCGGCGCAGGAGCUUUUCCAUCCAUGGCUGUUUCCCCCUGCCGAGCCCUUCCUUUCUCUGUGCUUUGGAUGAGCCUCUGCUCCCUAUGCUGAUCUCCACCUUGCCAUGGCGUUGCUCGCCGGGGAUCCCCUGCAGGGCGCCGUCGUGGCCUCGCCGGGCUCCUGCUCGCCGGCGAGCCCAUGUGCUCAUGGCACUUCCCUGCCUUCUCUUUGUCCCAAACAUCCAGCAGCAGGGAUCGGAUCAACGCCGCAGCGCCCAGCCAUGGUGGCUGUAGGCCGAGUCCCUCUCCCAACCAGUGCCCUCCCUGUUUCCCUGGACGACGCUGUCCCUUCCCAUGCCGCUGCUCCACCACACACACUACCUGCUCGACGAUAUGCGUAGCCGACUGCGUGUUGUCUUGCUUGUGUUGUGCGCAGCCCUGCUCGCCUCUUUUCGGUGUUGUCAAACUAUCGGUGUGGAGCACUGUGUCGAGGACAACAUCGUCGACUUUUAUUCCGGUGCGCUGCUCAAUCCAUGCUGCCCCGCUGUGCCUUGUAGCGCUGUGGAUCCACGGCAUGGUCUCGACGUCGCUCUCCUUGCAGCCACACCCCUGCUGCUCCCACAUGCCGCACCACAUCAAAAAAAAAAAAUCCUGCAACCACGCCUCUCCUCGUGCUUGCUGUGCUGUCGCGCGCAGCGAGAACCAUAGCGCCACGACUCGUUCCUGCUCGGCGAGAGCAGCCGCGUCAUCAAUCCGUGCAGCCCCGACGCCUCCGCGUCUCGCUUCGUCGGGUCUGCACAGCCUCUUCGCGCCAUGCGGACAGCAGCAACAACUAAGUUAUUUUUGGUAAGUUGAUUUGUUGUUUUGGAUAAAGUUGAUAAAUAAAUAGAUGUAUGGUGACCGUGAUGAUUCUCGAGCAAUAAGUGAUGAUUUAAUAGUAUCAUUUAGUAUUCGGUAGUUGUAGAUUAUAUAAAGGGUGCUCGAAGACUGCAUUUGUCGAAUAUGGUUAACUAGAUGCUAUGCACAUAAUAAUUGGUAACGAUGAUUUUGUGUACAACGUUAGGGAGAUGAUCGCCUCUAUGGUUGAAACGUUUGGUGGUAGGUCGUAAUUGGUUGUGUUCGCAACGUGGAAUUAUGGUAGGCAUCAUCAGUGCCCAUGCUGUAUUAGAUUAAGCUUUGUUAUACGAUAAAACUAAAAACGUGAAUGUCAUAUAUAGUGUUUCAAUUGAGUUAGCCCGUAGAUUUAAUAUGUGUCGAUCGCAAUGAAUUAUCAGUAGGGCCUAAAUGGUGAGUUAUGUGUGAACUGUGUUAGAGCCCUUCCGAGAUAAAUAGAUUUAACCUAUGUUGUGUUGUCAUACAAAUAACCUAGAAAGGUGGUAUAUGUUAAUAAUUGGAAGGACAGUUGUUCAAAUUGGUCAGUUCGAUUAAGAAUGAUUUUUGCGUGUGAGGGGAGGUGGUGACAUACCAAGGUAGUCAUCAAUUCCUCUAUGUUUAUAAGUCGAGUCGAGUCGAUGCACAGUUUGUGUUCAUUAAAUUAUGUUUUGCAUAUAGUGUAAUGGAGUUAGUUGUUUUGGGAUAAUUAUUAAAAUGUUCUGUUCACAUGAUAAAUAUGUAUGAUUGUAAAAACAUUGAAGUGUAUGUUGUGUCUCAGUCUGCGAUCAUAAUAGGCAAGUCGAUGUGUAUGUCGUAUGGCGGGCUAUGCCAUCCCUUUGGUUAAUCGACUAGUUAGAUGGCGUUGGUUAAGCUCGUAGUUACGAUGAAUUACUUGUUGUGGUCUAAAUGCGUAUGGUUAUGGUCGCAUGUAAAAAUUAGUAGUGCUCAUGUGGCGUCUAAGUUAAAAUGCGGACUAAUGGGUGAAAGGCGCUUCGAUAUAAAUAUGUGCCGGAUUUGAUGAUUGUGGUGAAUGCGUUUGUUAAAUGAAUGUGGUAAUUUUAGUGCACUAAAUGAUUUGGAUAAAAUUUGUAAGUCUACUUGUUAGUGCUCAAUUGAUUGUUUUAACUCUAACAAAUGGUAAAGUGUUAGAAUGAUUCAAUUCUCUAGAUCAUGGCAAUUCUUGAAUUGUAUAGGAGCUGAAAUUUAUUAAUUUCUGUUUUGGACUGCGCGCGCUGUUUUAGUUGUGCUGUAUGUUUGAUGAACUAAAUUGUGUUUUCUGUAGAUAUGUGCUAUAGAAAAGUGGUAGAUAACCUUAUUAUCUUGCUGGUGUUAAAAUUUGACAGCCAUAGGUCUGACAGUUUAGGAGUUAUGCUUUUUACAAAUUCAGUAACUGAAUCUGUCCAAAUUCUGUACAGAUUUCAGAAACUGUAUUGUUUGUUCAAUUUAAUGUUGCAAUCUGUUCAUGGUCAUUAUAAGAAAGUUGUAGAUGCUUUUCUGAUCUUUCUUGUGUUAAAAUUUGAUAACCACAGGCCUGAUAGUUUAAGAGUUAUGAAUUUUACAAACUGCUUGCUGUGUUCUGUCCACUAUCAGGGCAGAUUUCGAAAACUGUAAUGUUUGAUUGGAUUAAAUCUGGAAUCACUUCUUUGUGAUUAUAAAAGUUAUGUAGUGCUUUUGCUGAGCUUUCCAGAAAGUCUUGGAUCACUAUUUUUGGUGAUCUGAAGAUUAAGUUAUGGAUGUUUAAAGUCUGAAGACUGAAUCUGUCCAAUUCUGGACAGCAAAGCCUUCUAGUGUAUUUUAUCCUUAGUUAAAUAUUGAAUCACCUUAAGAUGUUUAUAAAUGAUAUGUAGACAAUUUUAUUACCUUUCCAGAAAGUCUAGGAUCACAUUGUUUGGAUGUCUGAAUCUCCAGUUGUGAAUUUUUGAAGUUGCAAGUCUGAAUCUGUCCAAAUCUGGACAGCGCUGUUGUGUUAACAUCUUUUGACCUUGCUAAGUGUUUAAUCAUGUUGUGAUGACAAUACCAAAGUUGUAGAGAACUUUCUAAACUUUCCAGAAAGUAUUAGUUUGCUAUUUUUGGAUUAAUAUUUGAAAAGUUAUGAUUAAAACAAGUAGCUGCUGUGCUGCUGUCCUAAAAAUCUGCAUGUGCUCAAAUGAAUAUUUAGUUCACCAUUUUGGCUAAAAAUGCUUAGUUAGCACUUAACGAAUAUAGACUUGUGAUGGCUAAACUUAGGUUAACAUGUGCUUCAUGAUUAAUGUGCUUGCUUGCUGUAGUUGAUUGUGAUAGAGGAGUCCAUCGACAUUGAUGCGUCGGUCCUCUAUUAAACUUGUGUUUGUGAUGCUUUUGUGUGAUCAAUAGAACUAAUGCAAAGUCGUAGCAAUUAAAUAAAUGUGUGUACCUGUGAUAUCGUAUUUGUGUUGCGUAAAUAAAUAAGAUAUGGUCGUCUUGUUAAUGGUGUUAAUGAUGAACGCUGAUAACGUACGAAUAGCUAGCGCUUGUGUAUAGUCGUUGCGGUGUCUUACUACUUGGUGUUUAGUUCGCUACCGUGUAUUGUAUAUCUUGUGAUAACUUUUCAUUAUAUUCAUACAUAUGCAUCUUGCAUCUCAUUUAGGAUCGAGAGAUGGUGAUCGUGCACGUGAUAUGGUGCCAACCACAAGAUGCCGUUGGUGGACGACCCAAGGAAGGAUGGACUUAACCAGUGGAUGCUCGCCAAGCGAGUACCUCCCCAGCAAACACUGUCUAAGUGUUAAAUUAAAGGCAAGCCCCGGUUUUAUGCAUAACCGUUUAUAUAUGCUAUUUUACUACACUUAAUGUUUGUAGGCUUGUGCUGUGCACUUAAGUGUAGGAGUUGACUGAAACCCUAGUUGCAUGAACUCAGGAUUCCUUUUUGAAAUGGAUACUAGUAUGAUAGGUCGAGUAGCUGCUUUACUAAUUAGGGAUCUCGGUAGAAGUCGAGUGAUUUUUCUAGCACUCGCGCGAGGUCAGGACAUUGAUUGUACCCACUUUCAUAUCGUACUGAUGUUGGUUUGUGGGCAACAAUCCAUGGGGAUUUGUUGUCCACGGGAUAAAAAUUGGAAUAAGGAUUAAGGUGUGGUACCGUGAGUCAAGCGUUUGAACGUACUAAGCACAUGCCGAGAAAUAUGGUAAAUCGGUAAGCCUAGUACCUGAUUGAACCUGGCAGUGGACUUUACCCCUCACGCGACCUGAGACGAGGUCUCCCAUUCCGGUUAUGGUGGGUACAAGUGCGGUCACUGCACGACGGCCAGUCGGGGUCAGUGAGGCAUUGUACGCCAAGGCGGUGAGCCCUGAUCCGCUGACGGGGAAUCGAUGGGGACGGUUGAUAUGUGUGGGGACGGAGUGCCCCUACAUGUCGUGUGUUUAGGUUUACCUUGCAAGGAUAAAAACUCGAUUCGAAUCGUCUGCUUCUCGCAGCUAAUGAGACUGCUUGAUCCAUGCUGCUACAUUGAGUAAUAAGUGGAAAUGAGGUGACUGGCAAAAGAUGUUGAUUGAUAAAAUGUUUGAUACCAUGUAUGAAUAGCUAGGUACUCAUCUAGUUUAAAAGGAUCAUACUAAAACUUGAAAAGCUAAAACUUGAUUUUAGACUCAGCUAGUGCUUUUGGCAAACCAAACCCCUCAGCCAAACAGCUGCAUGUCUAGAGGUAGAGGAGUAGACUCCUCACACCGGGUAAGUCUAGCUGAGUAUUAGUAUACUCAGCCUUGCUUGUGGCACAAUUUUUGCAGGUACUCCUUGAUUGAUUGAUGGUGUGACUUGGCCUUCAUCCCUGCCACCGGGAUAGAUGGUCGAGUGGGUUAUUGCUUCCGCGGGAGAGGACCAGGAGGAGUACUGUGGCCAGGCUUCGCCAUGUUACUCGGUUUUCUCCGUUAGUUAUUUACGCUGCAUUAAAAUUUAUGGUUAUUAUUUCUGAAACUCCGAUAAUGUAAUCACUAAAGAUACUUAUUAAAUUUGUGGUAUUAUGUUUUAUUGUAUUUCUCUGUGCCUCACCUUCGUGUGAGAUAGUGGUAUUCGAUCCUGGAUAAGUGGCUUUAUCGGACUAGAUCCGAGGGACUGACGGAUUAUUCCUGUUUAAGUGUGUUGCUGCCCUUAAGGGUGCGACUUGGGCACUUAAGCUGGAAUAAUUCGGGCGGUUCCGCCACAGCUGGUAUCGGAGCGAAUACUAUCACAGAGAAGUCAAUAAGUCAUGAUUACCGACCUUUUCUAAAGUAAAACUUGCUAGAAACCAAUGUUGGAUAGAUCGUCAGGACGAUAAGGAUAGACUUAGGACGUGAAGCCUUAGGAAAUAGAUGGGUAGCUAGGUGGCUAUAUUUAUAUAGGCCAUAAAGGCUACUACUACUAUUAACUAGGAUGCUGUAGAAGCAUCCGAAAAAUUAGUUAGGUCUGAAAAGACGCCUAGAAUGAGCAUGCAUCAUGAUUGUUGCAUUAUUAUCCCUUGUGCACCAACGUGCUUCUCUCACCUUUAUUCCAAUAAUAAGAAAUUAUGAAUAAUGUGUUGUAUUGCUAUGAACUGCAAAAAAAAUGCCUUACCUCGUAUCAAAUUGGUAAGUCUUGUUAGGUCGUGCUACGUGUUUCUCUUGCCUUGCUAGCUAGGUGGUAUUGUAAUUGUUCACCUCUCUUUGCCAAUAAAAAUUGUUGCCUGUUUUGCCCAUAAAAGACCCCCCUUCUCCAAACAACCUUGAGUUUAGCAACUAAAACCUCUUAAAAAAAUCAUGAUGGUGUUGGUGUUUUCUAGCCCUUGUGUGUUGCGCUAUUGGUAAUGCACCUGCACAGCUUAUAGACCCCCAUAGCUUAACCACUAGCCAAACCGGAACUUCCUUGUGCACGCGGUUAUGUCAAAAAAAAACAUCGUUUGUUGUCUAGUUGCGCAAACCAUGACCAAGCCAUGUUUCUUUCCAUAAAUCCUUGCCCCUAAAACUUCAUAGCGUUUCUGUCGAUCAUCCUAGCUGAUCCUGUUUGCCUACCUCUCCUUUCGCCUGGAUCUGGUAAUCCUUCUUCUUGUGAAUCAUGUUUGCUUUAUCGUCCGAAUCUCGGGAUCCCCAAUUGAUUCUGCCCCGUUAGCUGGUUAUCUGCUAUAACCCGUUCUCAAGUAUCGAAUGUUGAUCUUGCCUAAAUCUCUCAUUCUAAUUAUUCUCAUACUCUUUCUCCAAGGAUCAUGACGUCAUUUUAUCAACUUAUCUCUAAUCAGUGUAUCCAUUUAGUCAAUGGAUUUCAUUGUUGUCCUUGGUUCUCUCAUGUCUCUAAAAGCUCAACAAUCUAUUUUGAUCUCAUGGUCGGUUCAUCCUCAUAUCAAAUCUCAUGCUAAUAUCUGAUCUGAUAAUCUCUAUGUUGAUCAUAAAAUAGUUCUCUGAGUUAAAUAAAAAAAUUCUCAUCUGAUGCUCUUUUGCCAACAAUCUUUGCUUCAACUUCAGUCACAUUUUCUGAGCCAUACUCUCAUGGGCUCCAUCUAUUUAUGCUAUGUGGAAUUCUCGUUGGUUACGUUUGGUAAUGGUGUCAUGACUAACGACUGAUGAUGCCGCGACGAAACCGAGAGCCUACUAUGGUGCACACAUGGUUGAGCUGCUCGGCACGCGCUGGUAUCAUGGUUAAUAGUCGUGGUCCAUUACGAGACUAUACUGCUAUCUUUCAUGGAUAUUCUCUCAAAAGUGAUCGCUGCAUUUUGUCUCGAUAUGUCGCGAUAUUCUAACCAAAUCUGUCUUCAGUAUCUUGUCAGAUACCCUCUCAUAAAUUUGCAUCUAUCUUCAGUCUGGGAGUUACAUGCUUCUCCACCCUUAAAUAUCCUCAUUCGAAUCUCGGGACGAGAUUCUUUUUAAGGGGGGAAGGCUGUGACACCCCAGGUGUCAGUUUCGUGUUAUGACGGGAGAUUAAUCCUAAUCUCGGAUGCUCAGUAAAAAUUUCUCUUUCUCACUCGCGUAUGUCUCUGAUUAUCCAGAUUAUUCAUUCACAUUUCGCCGAAUUCGGAAUUAUUCGAUCUCACAGAAGGCCAAUUUGGAGCCUGUUAAAAACUUUUAUUCUCGACGAAUGCAAACUCGGGAAUCAUUCUCGAUUUAUAAAUCUUGUCUAAAGCUCGUUUAAUCAAGCGCUCGACAGUUGCUAGUCGAGCUGUGUCCGAAUCCAAUUUCUCGAUGUUCGAUCGAUGUCCGACUAUUUUAUCCGAGUCCGUACUCUCAAACGGAAUACUCAGUCUGUCGUCCUCUAAUUAAUUUCUAUCCGAUUCGGCUUAAUAUCUCUGUAUCCAAUCCGAUUUCAAAAUCAACAUCGGCAACGAUUUUUAAAUAUCACGAUUCGCUUUCUCCGACUAAAAAUCCAAAGUCGAUCGAAUCUCAGGACGAUUUAUUUUCCAAUCACACGUAGGGAAUUAAUUUUCGAGCAAAUUCAAAACAGACUCUCGGCCGAGUUAAUCGCGCAACUUUCCGUUCGUCCGAACUCUUUUCGCUCUGUUUCUCAGUAGCGACGAAUUCCGCAGGAACAUUUUAGUCCGGAAAAUAUUUAGCGCGACCCAAUUUAGUGUUUUGGGCCAAAUCUAGCCCGGCCCAAUUAGGCCCAUUUGAAACCCUAACCCUAGCCCAUGUCUAUAAAUAGGAGCUCUCUCCCCUUGCCCUUGGGCUAUUUUGCAUUCCCACCCCUCAUUUUUUUCCAGCCGCCACCGCAGCCUCCCUGUCUUCUUCUCCAUCGCGCAGCAGGCAUCCCACGGCAGCAGCAGCAGGGAGCCGUGCUCCCCUCCAUGGCGAGCAGCAAGCUGGCGCCCCUGCUCCUUCUUCCUCGGCGCUGAAGCUCCUCCCUGGCGUCCAUGGCGCCGGCGUAUCUCCAGCCGCCCCCUGCUCCUUGUUCCACGCGCAGCAGCCACGCGCAGGAAGUAAGGCCAGCAGCCAUGGCGAUUUCCCCUGCGAGCUCCCCUCUCUCCCAUGGCUGACCCUCUGCUCCCUGCACUUGGCGUCCUUGCAGCAGGCGAGCUCAGCUCCACCUCCCUGCGCUCAGCUCAUCUCCCUUGCCCAGCGCCCUCCCUCCUCUCUGUUUUUCCUUGAGCUCACGUGCAGGGAACGACGCCCUUUCUCCUCCACUGUGCUCGACGCCUAGCCCCUUUUCUAUGGCUUGGACGCAGCAGGAGCGGCGCAGGAGCUUUUCCAUCCAUGGCUGUUUCCCCCUGCCGAGCCCUUCCUUUCUCUGUGCUUUGGAUGAGCCUCUGCUCCCUAUGCUGAUCUCCACCUUGCCAUGGCGUUGCUCGCCGGGGAUCCCCUGCAGGGCGCCGUCGUGGCCUCGCCGGGCUCCUGCUCGCCGGCGAGCCCAUGUGCUCAUGGCACUUCCCUGCCUUCUCUUUGUCCCAAACAUCCAGCAGCAGGGAUCGGAUCAACGCCGCAGCGCCCAGCCAUGGUGGCUGUAGGCCGAGUCCCUCUCCCAACCAGUGCCCUCCCUGUUUCCCUGGACGACGCUGUCCCUUCCCAUGCCGCUGCUCCACCACACACACUACCUGCUCGACGAUAUGCGUAGCCGACUGCGUGUUGUCUUGCUUGUGUUGUGCGCAGCCCUGCUCGCCUCUUUUCGGUGUUGUCAAACUAUCGGUGUGGAGCACUGUGUCGAGGACAACAUCGUCGACUUUUAUUCCGGUGCGCUGCUCAAUCCAUGCUGCCCCGCUGUGCCUUGUAGCGCUGUGGAUCCACGGCAUGGUCUCGACGUCGCUCUCCUUGCAGCCACACCCCUGCUGCUCCCACAUGCCGCACCACAUCAAAAAAAAAAUCCUGCAACCACGCCUCUCCUCGUGCUUGCUGUGCUGUCGCGCGCAGCGAGAACCAUAGCGCCACGACUCGUUCCUGCUCGGCGAGAGCAGCCGCGUCAUCAAUCCGUGCAGCCCCGACGCCUCCGCGUCUCGCUUCGUCGGGUCUGCACAGCCUCUUCGCGCCAUGCGGACAGCAGCAACAACUAAGUUAUUUUUGGUAAGUUGAUUUGUUGUUUUGGAUAAAGUUGAUAAAUAAAUAGAUGUAUGGUGACCGUGAUGAUUCUCGAGCAAUAAGUGAUGAUUUAAUAGUAUCAUUUAGUAUUCGGUAGUUGUAGAUUAUAUAAAGGGUGCUCGAAGACUGCAUUUGUCGAAUAUGGUUAACUAGAUGCUAUGCACAUAAUAAUUGGUAACGAUGAUUUUGUGUACAACGUUAGGGAGAUGAUCGCCUCUAUGGUUGAAACGUUUGGUGGUAGGUCGUAAUUGGUUGUGUUCGCAACGUGGAAUUAUGGUAGGCAUCAUUAGUGCCCAUGCUGUAUUAGAUUAAGCUUUGUUAUACGAUAAAACUAAAAACGUGAAUGUCAUAUAUAGUGUUUCAAUUGAGUUAGCCCGUAGAUUUAAUAUGUGUCGUUCGCAAUGAAUUAUCAGUAGGGCCUAAAUGGUGAGUUAUGUGUGAACUGUGUUAGAGCCCUUCCGAGAUAAAUAGAUUUAACCUAUGCUGUGUUGUCAUACAAAUAACCUAGAAAGGUGGUAUAUGUUAAUAAUUGGAAGGACAGUUGUUCAAAUUGGUCAGUUCGAUUAAGAAUGAUUUUUGCGUGUGAGGGGAGGUGGUGACAUACCAAGGUAGUCAUCAAUUCCUCUAUGUUUAUAAGUCGAGUCGAGUCGAUGCGCAAUUUGUGUUCAUUAAAUUAUGCUUUGCAUAUAGUGUAAUGGAGUUAGUUGUUUUGGGAUAAUUAUUAAAAUGUUCUGUUCACAUGAUAAAUAUGUAUGAUUGUAAAAACAUUGAAGUGUAUGUUGUGUCUCAGUCUGCGAUCAUAAUAGGCAAGUCGAUGUGUAUGUCGUAUGGCGGGCUAUGCCAUCCCUUUGGUUAAUCGACUAGUUAGAUGGCGUUGGUUAAGCUCGUAGUUACGAUGAAUUACUUGUUGUGGUCUAAAUGCGUAUGGUUAUGGUCGCAUGUAAAAAUUAGUAGUGCUCAUGUGGCGUCUAAGUUAAAAUGCGGACUAAUGGGUGAAAGGCGCUUCGAUAUAAAUAUGUGCCGGAUUUGAUGAUUGUGGUGAAUGCGUUUGUUAAAUGAAUGUGGUAAUUUUAGUGCACUAAAUGAUUUGGAUAAAAUUUGUAAGUCUACUUGUUAGUGCUCAAUUGAUUGUUUUAACUCUAACAAAUGGUAAAGUGUUAGAAUGAUUCAAUUCUCUAGAUCAUGGCAAUUCUUGAGUUGUAUAGGAGUUGAAAUUUAUUAAUUUCUGUUUUGGACUGCGCGCGCUGUUUUAGUUGUGCUGUAUGUUUGAUGAACUAAAUUGUGUUUUCUGUAGAUAUGUGCUAUAAAAAAGUGGUAGAUAACCUUAUUAUCUUGCUGGUGUUAAAAUUUGACAGCCAUAGGUUUGACAGUUUAGGAGUUAUGCUUUUUACAAAUUCAGUAACUGAAUCUGUCCAAAUUCUGUACAGAUUUCAGAAACUGUAUUGUUUGUUCAAUUUAAUGUUGCAAUCUGUUCAUGGUCAUUAUAAGAAAGUUGUAGAUGCUUUUCUGAUCUUUCUUGUGUUAAAAUUUGAUAACCACAGGCCUGAUAGUUUAAGAGUUAUGAAUUUUACAAACUGCUUGCUGUGUUCUGUCCACUAUCAGGGCAAAUUUCGAAAACUGUAAUGUUUCAUUGGAUUAAAUCUGGAAUCACUUCUUUGUGAUUAUAAAAGUUAUGUAGUGCUUUUGCUGAGCUUUCCAGAAAGUCUUGGAUCACUAUUUUUGGUGAUCUGAAGAUUAAGUUAUGGAUGUUUAAAGUCUGAAGACUGAAUCUGUCCAAUUCUGGACAGCAAAGCCUUCUAGUGUAUUUUAUCCUUAGUUAAAUAUUGAAUCACCUUAAGAUGUUUAUAAAUGAUAUGUAGACAAUUUUAUUACCUUUCCAGAAAGUCUAGGAUCACAUUGUUUGGAUGUCUGAAUCUCCAGUUGUGAAUUUUUGAAGUUGCAAGUCUGAAUCUGUCCAAAUCUGGACAGCGCUGUUGUGUUAACAUCUUUUGACCUUGCUAAGUGUUUAAUCAUGUUGUGAUGACAAUACCAAAGUUGUAGAGAACUUUCUAAACUUUCCAGAAAGUAUUAGUUUGCUAUUUUUGGAUUAAUAUUUGAAAAGUUAUGAUUAAAACAAGUAGCUGCUGUGCUGCUGUCCUAAAAAUCUGCAUGUGCUCAAAUGAAUAUUUAGUUCACCAUUUUGGCUAAAAAUGCUUAGUUAGCACUUAACGAAUAUAGACUUGUGAUGGCUAAACUUAGGUUAACAUGUGCUUCAUGAUUAAUGUGCUUGCUUGCUGUAGUUGAUUGUGAUAGAGGAGUCCAUCGACAUUGAUGCGUCGGUCCUCUAUUAAACUUGUGUUUGUGAUGCUUUUGUGUGAUCAAUAGAACUAAUGCAAAGUCGUAGCAAUUAAAUAAAUGUGUGUACCUGUGAUAUCGUAUUUGUGUUGCGUAAAUAAAUAAGAUAUGGUCGUCUUGUUAAUGGUGUUAAUGAUGAACGCUGAUAACGUACGAAUAGCUAGCGCUUGUGUAUAGUCGUUGCGGUGUCUUACUACUUGGUGUUUAGUUCGCUACCGUGUAUUGUAUAUCUUGUGAUAACUUUUCAUUAUAUUCAUACAUAUGCAUCUUGCAUCUCAUUUAGGAUCGAGAGAUGGUGAUCGUGCACGUGAUAUGGUGCCAACCACAGGAUGCCGUUGGUGGACGACCCAAGGAAGGAUGGACUUAACCAGUGGAUGCUCGCCAAGCGAGUACCUCCCCAGCAAACACUGUCUAAGUGUUAAAUUAAAGGCAAGCCCCGGUUUUAUGCAUAACCGUUUAUAUAUGCUAUUUUACUACACUUAAUGUUUGUAGGCUUGUGCUGUGCACUUAAGUGUAGGAGUUGACUGAAACCCUAGUUGCAUGAACUCAGGAUUCCUUUUUGAAAUGGAUACUAGUAUGAUAGGUCGAGUAGCUGCUUUACUAAUUAGGGAUCUCGGUAGAAGUCGAGUGAUUUUUCUAGCACUCGCGCGAGGUCAGGACAUUGAUUGUACCCACUUUCAUAUCGUACUGAUGUUGGUUUGUGGGCAACAAUCCAUGGGGAUUUGUUGUCCACGGGAUAAAAAUUGGAAUAAGGAUUAAGGUGUGGUACCGUGAGUCAAGCGUUUGAACGUACUAAGCACAUGCCGAGAAAUAUGGUAAAUCGGUAAGCCUAGUACCUGAUUGAACCUGGCAGUGGACUUUACCCCUCACGCGACCUGAGACGAGGUCUCCCAUUCCGGUUAUGGUGGGUACAAGUGCGGUCACUGCACGACGGCCAGUCGGGGUCAGUGAGGCAUUGUACGCCAAGGCGGUGAGCCCUGAUCCGCUGACGGGGAAUCGAUGGGGACGGUUGAUAUGUGUGGGGACGGAGUGCCCCUACAUGUCGUGUGUUUAGGUUUACCUUGCAAGGAUAAAAACUCGAUUCGAAUCGUCUGCUUCUCGCAGCUAAUGAGACUGCUUGAUCCAUGCUGCUACAUUGAGUAAUAAGUGGAAAUGAGGUGACUGGCAAAAGAUGUUGAUUGAUAAAAUGUUUGAUACCAUGUAUGAAUAGCUAGGUACUCAUCUAGUUUAAAAGGAUCAUACUAAAACUUGAAAAGCUAAAACUUGAUUUUAGACUCAGCUAGUGCUUUUGGCAAACCAAACCCCUCAGCCAAACAGCUGCAUGUCUAGAGGUAGAGGAGUAGACUCCUCACACCGGGUAAGUCUAGCUGAGUAUUAGUAUACUCAGCCUUGCUUGUGGCACAAUUUUUGCAGGUACUCCUUGAUUGAUUGAUGGUGUGACUUGGCCUUCAUCCCUGCCACCGGGAUAGAUGGUCGAGUGGGUUAUUGCUUCCGCGGGAGAGGACCAGGAGGAGUACUGUGGCCAGGCUUCGCCAUGUUACUCGGUUUUCUCCGUUAGUUAUUUCCGCUGCAUUAAAAUUUAUGGUUAUUAUUUCUGAAACUCCGAUAAUGUAAUCACUAAAGAUACUUAUUAAAUUUGUGGUAUUAUGUUUUAUUGUAUUUCUCUGUGCCUCACCUUCGUGUGAGAUAGUGGUAUUCGAUCCUGGAUAAGUGGCUUUAUCGGACUAGAUCCGAGGGACUGACGGAUUAUUCCUGUUUAAGUGUGUUGCUGCCCUUAAGGGUGCGACUUGGGCACUUAAGCUGGAAUAAUUCGGGCGGUUCCGCCACACAAUGGACAAGAUUUGCAGGUUCGGGCCGCUUAGAAGUGCGUAACACCCUACGUCCUGGUGAGUAUAUGAGCGUGGUUACAAGAGGGUUCUCUGGAUAGAGGGCGCAGAGAGUUUAUGUGGGUGGCUAAGUAGAACAGGGUCCAUCCUUCUGAAGGGGUGCCCCCUAGGCCUUAUAUACUCGGCCGUGGAGCAGUACAUGUGAUAUGAUAACAACAAGUAGCUAAAAGAUAGUGAACCUCUUGAGUUUAUCCCUACGUAACCCUCGACGACUUAUCCUCGCAUGGCUCUGUUGCAUGGGGGCUUUAGCGCGGGAAAGUCGGGUCUCUGUUGCGAUUCAUUCGUUCGACGUUGUGGGCCGUCUGGGUUUGCACUAAUCAGUCUCACGUCUUCUUUUCUUUGUUGGUUGUCUUUCCCUAGGCCCACGAAAGAAUGACCUUACGAAUUAUUGGGCCCUUGGGCCUUUCGUGAGGCCUUUUACUUCUUUAGUGGACCCAGGGGAUAUCUAUCCCCCACAAGCCCCCGAUCUUUGGGUUGAUUUAGAGGUAAUCAACUCAAAGAUCCAAGGUCCAAAAAAUGACUUCCUGCUGUCUUCUCUGGCUCUGAUCACUCGUUCGACCAAAGUUUGGUUUUGUGCUUGUGCCUUAGAGGUCGGCAUUUUGGAUUGUAAGACUCUGGACUUCAUUGGGUGCACCGGAGGUGCACCCAAUGGGUGUAGCCCCCGACCUUUGAGUAGAUUUUAGAAGAUAAUCUACUCGAAGGUCUUCUUCCAAAGGUUAUCUCCAUUCGCGCUCCUGCAUCUCGGUUGAGGAUUGGUCUUUUCAAUCUUGCUCUACGCCUUAGAGGUCGGCGCUAUAUCGGUUUAGAAUAAUACUCCAUGGGGUGCACCGGAGGUGCACCCAAUGGGUGUAGCCCCCGACCUUCAAAUGGAUUUUUUAAGGAUAAUCCAUUCGAAGGUCUUCCUUUCGCUUGUGGAAACUGGCAUGAAGCUAUUUUGCAUUAUGCUUUGGAGGUCAGCAUUAUGUCAUCAAUAUUUUGCUGCAAAGGUCAGCGUAUAUUUUGUCUUUAGCAGCCGAGUUUGCAAUCCAUCCAUAUCUUGCUAGGUAGUGCAAUUUAUUUGCUUCUGCGAUUGAUUGGACGUUUGACGGACGUUCUCUGUCUAGUCUUCACGUCGCUUCUGUCGGCCAUAUCUUGUACUUUGCUAGCUAUAUUUGGCUUUCCUCUGAUCCUUACUGAUAUCUCAUUUUUGUCUUGAGGUAUUCACUGCAUGCCCUGCACGGAUGUGACCGUUUUGAAAAAUAUACUGAUAAUUCCUGGGCGUCCCCCCCAAUGGGUGUGGGCAAGGGACGGCUUGGUACGCUGAGUGUUUUAGCCGGUUGCCUCUGAGUAGUAAUGCGAUGGGACGGCUAGUGUAAUCAUAUCCUUUGCGCUGUUGACUGGAGUCCCAAUAGGUGUAGUGUUGCAUGAAACGGCGUCCGCCGUCUGACGUGUCUUCAGAUGGGUGGAAGUGCUUAUUGAAUGCCUUGCGACUGUUCAGUGACCGCGGUUAGAAGUGAGCGGUUGCCUUUCCCUUCUAUAAAUAACACCUUUGCUUCUCUGGUUUUUUCACAUCUCUUCGCUGCUCUUUACCGCCUUCUUCUUCCUCCCUUCUGUCUGCUUCCACCAUGGGCAAGAACAACAAGCGCAAGCGUGAGCCGACUCCUCCAUCGGAGGAGUUUGGUGACUCGGAAUACUCAGAGGAGGAGUUCUCCUCUGAGUCCGAGGGGUCUCCGGCUCCCAUCCCCCUGUGUGAGUCGUCUGAUGACUCAGACGACUCCCAGGGGCUUGCGGCGGAGGUCUGGACGUACAUCCGGGCCGUCGAGCGCUCCGGGCUCGAGGGCUCGGAUGAGUCUGAGUUCUCCUCGGACGAGGAGGACUCGGACGGCGGCGAGGGCGAAGAUGACGACGACGACGACGGCGACGACGACAACGGAGGCGACGACGACGGUGAUGGCGGCAACGGCGGCGGAGGCAGCGGCGGCAAGGGCGGCACCAAGGGCAGCAGCAGUGUGGGCAGCACCGGAGGCGGCGGCGGCAAGGGCAGCGGCGGCAGGGCCAGUGGCUAAACGCCACUGGUCUUUAAAUAUUAGUAUAGUUAGAAUAAUGUAGUAGUAAUGUAGGGUAGUAUAGUGUAGUUUAGUAGUAGUAGUAAUGUAGAGUAGAAGUAGGGAAGCACCAACUCCUGAGGAGUUGGUUUGUAAACUUAUUAACUUCCCUUUAAUCAAGAACUGUCGUUGAUCCCCCCUUUUCGAUGACUUGUCGUUGCUUUUCCUGAAUGUUGAACUGAUUCUUUUGAUAUAGUAGAAACAACGCCGAGCGAUGUGAAGGUUGACAUCAGCGUUUUAGAAGUAACACCAAGCAAUCGAACACAAGACCAGCGUUUUAGAGGCAAUGCCGAAUGAUAGAAGGUCGGCAUCGGCAUUUUAGAAGUAAUGCCGAGCGACAGAAUACGGGGUCGGCGUUUUAGAAACAACGCCGAGUGAUUGAAGGUCGGCGUCGGCAUUUUUAGAAGUAAUGCCGAGCGAUUGAACACGUGGUCGGUGUGUUAGAGGACACGCCGAGUGAUUGGAGGUCGGCGUCGGCAUUUUAGAAGUAAUGCCGAGCGAUUGAACACGUGGUCGGCGUGUUAGAGGACACGCCGAGUGAUUGAAGGUCGGCGUCGGCAUUUUAGAAGUAAUGCCGAGCGAUUGAACACGUGGUCGGCGUGUUAGAGGACACGCCAAGUGAUUGAAGGUCGGCUUCGGCAUUUUAGAGGCAACGCCGAGCGAUUGAACACGUGGUCGGCGUUUUAGAGGCAACGCCGAGUGAUUGAAGGUCGGCGUCGGCAUUUUAGAAGUAAUGCCGAGCGAUUGAACACGUGGUCGGCGUUUUAGAGGCAACGCCGAGUGAUAGCCAGCUUCACAAGUUACUUUGAGGAAAAUAACCGAGUGAUGAGGUGGCACGUCGGCUUUCUUGGAAAUAACUGUCGGAUAUCCACGUGGCAUGCUGGGAUUUCGGAAAUGACCGCCGGGUGAUGACUGGGCACUUUUUGAAAGGGUAUCUGGCUCAAGAAUAUCCCUUAAGAGUCGCGCUUUUAGCCGCCUUUGCUUUCCGUGCCCUAGUUCUUGCAUUUCCGCAUCUGAAUCUUCUCUGCCACUCGCCUCCUACUCUGUUUCGCCAGUGAGAAGCAAGAUGGCGCCCAAGAGAAAAACUGCGAACUCGUCUGCUGCAGUGAUCCCCGCAAUCGACCCCAACAGCCAGUUACCCUUCGCAGGUAACCACAUGUCUGUAAUUUCUGAAGCUGAGCUUCUCCGCCUUGUCUCCAUCGGGGUUCUUCCUCCGCGGGAACUCUGUUCUUGGCGGGUUUGCCACGGGACUACUGUCCCAACCGAAGAUACCCACGAGUCAGUAGUUUACACUCCUUUCCUUCUUCGCGGCCUCGGCCUUCCCAUAUCUCCUUUUUUCCGUGGCCUCCUUGAUUUUUAUCACAUCAACCUGACUCAUUUGAACCCUAAUUCCAUUCUCCAAAUCUCUAUUUUCGUUCACCUUUGCGAAGCUUAUCUCGGCGUGCUGCCGCAUUUUGGUUUAUGGAAGUAUCUGUAUCACUGCCGUCCUGGGAUGGCCGGGGGGCAACAUCAGUUGGUCGGAGGUGCCAGUUUGGAGAUGCGCCGUGGGCGGAAGACCGAGUAUCUCGAGAUACCCCUCAAAGACAGCAUUAAAGGUUGGCGUCUGGAGUGGUUUAUAAUUGAUAAUUAUGGAAAUUCUCUCCCUUCCCGUUCAGGAAGACAGCCAGACGUUCGUACUCCGAGUUGGACUGAGUCUCCCACGGAUCAAGAAGUGGCCGAGGCAGGCGUGUUGCUUACUGAAGUCGGAUUACUGAAAGAGAGAGGUCUGACUGCCGAAGCUGUGGUCACAGAUUUUGUUUUCAAAAACAUUCAGCCGCUGAAAGACAGGGCCUAUCCGGCAUAUCUUUAUCGAGGGCUGGCCGACUCAACCCGAGUUACCAAUAGGAGAAUUCCUUCUGUUGAUUUGGUAAGCCGACUCGAGAUGAUCCUCAGGGGUAAAGUUUCAAACGUUGGUGCUCCAGUGGCAUACUCGGCUUGGAACCUACCUUCUCCCAAAGCUUUCACCCUUUUUGUGUCCAAUCCGCCCGUGACUGAUAGCAAUUUGGGUCUUAGAGUGCGACCCUCUGCUGAAGAGGUCCGUUCUUUAGUUGCUUCGCUCGGGGAGAUACCUGAUGAUGAACGGCAGAUUUAUUUUGAAGUGCCCCUGAACCCUAGUGAUGCAGACAUAAAUGACAUGCUCGAUCUGCUAGCUGAGGAUUCAUCUGAUGCUGCUCCUGAUGGUACAUUGGCAGUGGUGCCCCUUCCAGAGGUUGAUGCGACCUUGGAUGUCCCGAAACCUGUCAGUACUCGCCCGAGGCGCCCUAGCCGAACCAGUCAGCCCGAGCCUUCUGCUGAUGAGCAGAAGAAGAAGAGAAGACGCCUCCGGCGAGUAUCCAGCUUUGACGAGGAUGCCAGUACCUUAGCUCCUACUGCUGAAGAAAUGACUGCAACUGGCCUUGCUGACAUUGAUCCCAAUGGGUGUGCUCCGCCUGCUGCUGACCCCGCUGAGGAUGCUGUUCGUGCUGUUACUGUGGAAGAUGAGGAGGAAGAAAAUGACACUCCAUUAACUCGGAAAAACAGUCGGCAGCUCGUUGCUAGCGGUGGAAGUAGUGGAGUCCCUUCUCCUGCUUUGUCUGCCCUUAUUGGUCUGCAAGAGCUGUCUAUGGCCAAUUUUGAUCAAGCUCUAGAGGAUAUGGUCCCAGAAGAGUUGUUAUCAGAGCCUGUGGAUGUUGAUGCAACAGAAACUUGUGCUGCCGUGCCAGAUGCUGGGCUGAGGUCAUCUCGUGCCUCGUCAACCUUAGAGCAUGAUCUCGAGGGUCGGGAUGCUGACUUGGACCGUCCUGAUCCCAUGGAAGUAGCUGAAGGCCCGUCAACCUUAGAGGUGGUCACGGCAGAGAGCUUGGAUCCCUUGAAUAGUGCUGACACGUGCCCAGCCCCCGAGGAUGUCGCCGGGGAGGACUCAGCUCGGGUGAGGAGUGUAGGCCACUGCCCAGCCCCCGAGGGUGUUGCCGGGGAUGAUCCGGCUCAAGUGGGCAGUGCCAACUUUGACCCAGCCCCGAGGGUGUCCGAGCGAGGUCUCCUUCCUGCACUUCCAUGGAUGUUCAUGCAGGUUCACCUCCACACUCUGGCGGCAUGGUGGUGGCCCAAACUCCGGAUCAGGGGGUCGCUUUAGAGGGCAGCAUCCCCACUGGUCUGGCGUUAGGCUCUGUUGAAUGUACUGAGCUCGUUCCUGCUGGUCUGCUGCAAGCUGCUUCGGGUGGUGGUCUGGCACCUGGUCAUCAGCUGAUUUCUCCUGACUUGGGGAUCCCUUCGCUCUUUUCCAACCUCCAGGUGCUGUGCUGUGCUUUAGUUUGAUCUUUAUGUUGCAUGAAUUGUUGCCAUUAUGUUCAUCCGCUCUUCUCAUCAGGCUUUAUUGACUGGAAUGGUCGGCCAGCUGAAGUCGCAGGGUGCUUCCAUCCCGGAGGUGGCUUCAUCUCUUGAGCGUUGGAAUCCGGUGUUGCUUCGGGGUCGUGUAUCCGAGUUGGAGGCAACUAAUGCUGGUUAGUGUCUUUCCUUCUUUUUCUUUGUUCUUGCUCGUGGAUUGUUUUACCUUCUGACCUCAUUUCGUUUGAAUACCUCUUGAUAGGGAUGACUCGGCGGAUUACAGUUCUUGAAGAAAAACAUUCCCAAGAUCAAGCUGAGAUGGCUCGACGGUGCGCUGACUUCGAGGAGAAGUAUUCUCAGAGCCAGAUUGAAUUGAGUCAGGUCUCCGCGGCUUUGGAUCAUGCCAACGCUCUGAGUUCUUCUCUUCAUGCUCAGCUUGACUCUGAGAAGGUAGCUUACGAACCCGUGCUUCGCCUUAUCAUGCUCUUGGAUUCUGGAUGAGUUGAUUUUUGCUUGUAGGAAGAAAAACGCAUCUUUGCUGCUUCUCGCGACAACCUGGACAGAUUGUACCGAGAUUCCAGCAACUCGCUGACCAUCUUGGAGAGGAGCCACCGUUUUACGAUGGAGGAGCUGGACAAUCAGCGCCGUCAGCUGCAAGAAUCCUCGGACGAAGUGACCCGCCUUACACAGUUGCUAUCAGCAAAGGAUGCCACCAUCAAGGGACUCCGAGCUUCUAAGAAAUCCAUUGCUCAGGAGUUAGAAACUGCUCAGUAGGCUGUUAAAGUUGCCGAAGAAGCUGCUGUCACUUUCAAAGCUCAGCGUGAUAAAGCCCUGGACAAAGCUAUUCGGGCGGGACGAAUCUUGAUGAGAAGACCCGGCGUGGUUGUCCCUGAAGAUAUAAGAGCCGAUGUGAAUGCUGCCCCUGAUUCCUCGAAUCGCCCUUCUUCGUCAGUCGUUCCUGAGAAAGACAUUGGAAAAUAAAGAAACAGUUCGCGUGCUCUGAGCGCGCAGUUAGCAUGAUCAAGUACUUGUUAGAGGUUAUCGGCUUAUCAUUCGAAUGACAUCAUCACUUUCUUAUUGUAUCCGAAUUGCGAAUUUGUGGUAACGCUGCAUGAUGAUUAUGAAGUUUGUUUGUGGGAUAUGGAAAUCAUCCCCUGAACUGCAUAAGCGCGAGUAUGCUAUACCGGCUUAAGCCGUCAAUGACUUUAGCCGGUAACUCCGUUAGUAGGGUAUAGUGGCCACCCUAGGUUAAGUAAGCGUGAGCAUGUUGCACCGCCUUAAGUCGUUGCCGACUUAAGUUGAUUGCUCCGUUUGUAGGGCAUGGUGGUCACCCCGAGUUAAGUAAGCGUGAGCAUGUUGCACCGCCUUAAGUCGUUGCCGACUUAAGUCGAUUGCUCCGUUUGUAGGGCAUAGUGGUCACCCCGAGUUAAGUAAGCGUGAGCAUGUUGCACCGCCUUAAGUCGUUGCCGACUUAAGUCGAUUGCUCCGUUUGUAGGGCAUAGUGGUCACCCCGAGUUAAGUAAGCGUGAGCAUGUUGCACCGCCUUAAGUCGUUGCCGACUUAAGUCGAUUGCUCCGUUUGUAGGGCAUAGUGGUCACCCCGAGUUAAGUAAGCGUAAGCAUGUUGCACCGCCUUAAGUCGUUGCCGACUUAAGUCGAUUGCUCCGUUUGUAGGGCAUAGUGGUCACCCCGAGUUAAGUAAGCGUGAGCAUGUUGCACCGCCUUAAGUCGUUGCCGACUUAAGUCGAUUGCUCCGUUUGUAGGGCAUAGUGGUCACCCCGAGUUAAGUAAGCGUGAGCAUGUUGCACUGCCUUAAGUCGUUGCCGACUUAAGUCGAUUGCUCCGUUUGUAGGGCAUAGUGGUCACCCCGAGUUAAGUAAGAAUGCAAGUCAAUCGUAAACGAGCCAAGUAUCUUUGAAAUCUCUCUUUAUUGAUGACGUAUUUCCAUUAUACAGAAUACAUGGUCGCCCCGGCUGUUUUGAGAUACAGCUAGGGGUAAAAUUUUCGGAGGUGCUCUAUGUUCCAGGAGUUCCCCACUUCUGUGCCAUCCAUCUGAGUGAGGCGAUACGAUCCGGGCCGAGUGACCUCUGCUAUUAUGAAUGGCCCUUCCCAUAAGGGUGAUAACUUGUGCCGUCCUUCCCCCGUUAGAAUUCGGCGGAGGACGAGGUCUCCUAUCGAAAAGAAACGUUGCCGCACAGCUUUGUCGUGGUAGCGCCUUAGAGUCUGCUGGUAUCGUGCUGAUUGGAUUACUGCAUUCAGUCGUUCUUCUUCGAGUACAUCAAUAUCCUCCAGCCUGGUGGCUUCGGCUUCUGCUAUGCUUUCGAAGAUCAAUCUUGGCGCCCCAAACUUGAGAUCAGCAGGUAGCACUGCCUCCGACCCAUAGACCAUGAAGAAAGGAGUAUUUCCAUGCAGGGCCCGGCUAGGUUGGGUUCUCAAACUCCAAACAACAUAAGGCAAUUCUCUUAUCCAUUUUCCUGCGAAUUUUUCGUUUUUAUCAAAGACCCUUUUUCUAAGUGCCUCCAAUAUCAUUCCGUUGGCUCGCUCAACCUGCCCGUUGGCUCUCGGAUGGGCUACAAAUGCAUACUUGAUCUGAAUGCUUUUUUCCUCGCAGAAGUCAAAGAAUUCUGAACUGGUGAAGUUGGAUCCCAAGUCAGUGAUGAUACUGUUUGGUAUCCCAAAUCUGAAUAUUAUGCUUUGUAUGAAUUCCACGGCUUUAGCAGAGGUUAAAGAGGCAAUGGGCUGGAACUCUAUCCAUUUAGUGAAUUUGUCAAUUGCCACCAAUACAUGGGUGUAUCCUCCUUGAGCUUUCUUGAAAGGUCCAAUCAUAUCCAAUCCCCAGCAUGCGAAAGGCCAAGUUACUGGUAUGGUCUGUAGCUGCUGUGCUGGCAUGUGCUGUUGCUUUGACAGGUAUUGGCAAGCUUCGCAUCUCUGAACUAACUCGGCUGCAUCGUUCUUCGCCGUCGGCCAAUAGAAUCCUGACCUGAAAACCUUCCCGACUAAUGUUCUGGAUGCUGCGUGUACUCCACACUGCCCUGCAUGGACUUCCUCCAGAAGUUGCUGCCCGGUGGACGGGAGAACGCACUUCAUGAGGACGCCUGACGCGGCCCUCCUGUAUAAUACCUUCCCGAUGAGUGUAUAGUGAGCUGAUUGUCUGGCAAUGCGCUCUGCCGAGUUCUUGUCAUCUGGUUCUUCUUCAUUCUUUAUAUACUUAAUAAUCGGUUGCCUCUUGUCAUCAGAGUCUGACUCGGGUUGAUCUAUGAUGUUGCAUUCUUCUAUUUGAUCCGUCGAGACGCUCGGCUGGAGAAUUUCUUGCACGAAGACCCCGGGCGGGACCUGAGUCCGACCGGAUCCGAGCUUGGACAGUACAUCGGCCGCCGUGUUCCGAUCUCUUUCUAUAUGAUGAAACUCCAGACCUUCGAAUUUAUCUUCUAGCUUUCGGACGGCGGCGCAGUAUCUUCCCAUUGAAUCACUUGAACAAUCCCAUUCCUUGUUUAUCUGACUGAUGACUACCAGAGAAUCUCCAUACACCAUCAGUCUCUUGACACCCAGUGAUAUGGCGAUGUUUAAUCCGUGUAUCAAAGCUUCAUACUCGGCUGCAUUGUUAGAGGUCGGGAAUAGCAACUGGAGAGCAUACUUGAGGUGCUCGCCUCCAGGUGCAGUGAAGAGAAUCCCUGCUCCUGCUCCCUGCAGCUUCAGCGAGCCAUCAAAAUACAUUCGCCAUACUUCUGCCGUUUCUGGAUUGUCUGGAACUUGCUGUUCUGUCCACUCUGAUACGAAAUCGACCAGUGCUUGAGUUUUGAUGGCAGUGCGAGGUCGGAACUCGAUAUCAUGGGAUCCCAACUCGCAAGCCCACUUGGCUAUUCGGCCAAUGGCUUCCUUGUUGUGAAGAAUAUCCCCUAUUGGAAAACCAGUGACUACUAUGACUUUGUGGUCGUCAAAGUAGUGGCGCAGCUUGCGGGCAGUUAGAAGUACUGCAUAUAAUAGCUUCUGAACUUGAGGAUACUUUUUCUUCGAUGGACCUAGAACCUCACUGAUGAAGUAGACAGGAUGUUGUACCGGAUAGGCAUGCCCUUCUUCCACUCGCUCGACUACCAACGCAGUGCUUACCACGUGAGUCGUGCAAGAGAUAUAUAGUAGCAAAUCUUCAGCUGGUUGAAUCGGCGUAGCUCGCCGGGGCGGCUUUAGUACUGGUGGUGUUGUCAGGAAUUUCUUCAGUGCAUCUAGAGCUUCUUGUGCUUCUGACGUCCAUUGAAACUUAUCCACCUUCUUGAGCAGUUUGUAAAAUGGCAGACCUUUUUCUCCCAGCCUGGAUAUGAAUCUGCUCAGGGCUGCCAUACAUCCAGUGAGUCGCUGAACCUUCUUUUGCGACCGAGGGGCUUCCAUCUUCAUGAUAGCUUCAAUCUUAUCUGGAUUAGCUUCAAUUCCCCGGUGGCUGACAAUAAAUCCGAGUAACUUUCCUGCUGGUACCCCGAAGACACAUUUCUCAGGAUUGAGCUUCCAUCUAUAUCUUCUCAGGCUGUUGAAAACCAGCUGUAAGUCUUCGAUGAAGUUUUCCGGAUUCUCCGUUUUAAUCACCACGUCGUCUACGUAAGCCUCCACACGCUUGCCCCAGUGAUCGGCUAAGCAUGUUUGAAUGGCUCUCUGAUAAGUCGCUCCAGCGUUUUUGAGGCCGAACGGCAUGGAGGUAUAACAGAAAGCACCAAACGGGGUGAUGAACGCCGUUUUUUCCUCGUCUUCUUUUGCCAAACUAAUCUGAUGAUACCCGGAAUAGCAAUCUAAGAAAGACAGCACAGAACAUCCAGCGGUGGAAUCCACCACCUGAUCUAUCCUCGGGAGCCCGAAGGGAUCCUUCGGACAGUGUUUGUUGAGAUCAGUAUAGUCGACGCACAUGCGCCAAUCCACUUUAUUCUUUUUGAGUACAAGAACAGGGUUGGCUAACCACUCGGGGUGUAAUACUUCUCUAAUAAAUCCGGCCGCGACCAAGCGAGCUAACUCGGCACGAAUGGCCUCUCUCUUGUCGGGCGUGAAACGACGCAGCUUUUGCCGGAUCGGCCUCGCCUGAGGAUAGACUUUCAAUUUGUGCUCGGCCAACUCCCUCGGGACUCCCGGCAUAUCCGCAGGUUGCCAUGCGAAUACGUCUCGGUUAUCUUGCAGGAACUGGACGAGCGCGCUUUCCUAUUUGUCAUUCAAACUGGAGCUGAUGAUGGCCGCCUUGCGCUCAUCGGCAAACCCCAGGUUGAUCCGCUUGGUUUCUUCAGUCGGCCGCAUAGAGGUCGCGGCCUGAGCUUCGUUUGCCGGCACGGCGAGGUCUUCCUCAGGCUUAGAGUUCGCCGGUGUAGAAGGAACUGUUGACGGCUUGGUGGUGAGGGCUGCUUGGAUGGCCACUCGGAAACAUUCUGCGGCGCCUUGGAAGUCGGCGCGCACAGUUAUGAUUCCUUGCGGUCCUGGCAUCUUCAGUAUCAUGUAGGUAUAGUGCGGGAUGGCCAUGAAUUUGGCUAGCCCCGGCCUUCCGAUGAUGGCGUUGUAACCGCAGUCGAAGUUCGCCACCUCGAACCUCAGGAACUCGGUUCUGUAGUUAUCCGGAGUCCCGAAGGUGACCGGCAUGUAGAUGUGGCCCAGCGGGUAUUCCCCUUCCGUCGGCACGAUGCCGAAGAAAGGAGUGUCUGACUCGUGGAGCUCUUUGAGGUGAACUCCCAAGCCUUGGAGCGUACGGGGGAAGGUGACGUUGAUGCUGCUCCCCCCGUCCACUAGCACCUUCUUUACCCGGCUCUCUCGGAUCACCGGAUCGACGAGGAGCGGGUAUUUGCCUGGAUGGUCAAAGUUGAGCCAUUGAUCCUCCCGAGUGAAAGUGAUUGGGUGCUCCGACCACCGGUACGGGGCGGGUGGGCCGGUGGUCGCCACCAGUAUCUGGCGGUCGUUGAGCUUUUGUUGUCUUUUGUUCUCCUGCGACCCAUGUCCGCCGAAGAUGACGUUGACCUCCCUGUCAACGCGCGGGAAAGCUCCUCCUCCCCCCUCCUCCGGCUGAUGGGGCUGUCGUGGUUCACCUGGUCCUCCCCUCGGCGGAGGAGGCGGUAGGGGUUGGAAGGGUCGACCAUGUCCGACGGAGUGCUUGAAGUCCCGGCAGUUACGUAGAGUAUGGCGCAUGUCCUUGUGGUACGGGCACUGGGCGUCGAGGAUGUCGUCCAGUGUACGCUCGCCUCCACGGGGUCCUCCUCGGGCGCGAGAGGCGGGUGGUCCGGCGGCGUGUACUUCUUCACGAGGCCUCUUCUCCCAGCGUUUGUCGGGUGGCUGGUUCGCGUCGCGUCGUGGUGCUGUCGGUGUGGGUUUUGCUCCUCCGAUGAGGUCCUGGGCCCGCUCGUCGGCGGUGAUGUAGAGGUCGGCUUCCCGGAACAGCUCCUCGGAGGUAGUCGGUGCCUUUUGUAGUAUGGCUCGGACGAAAGCCGAGUCGUUAGAUCCUCUGUAGAAGUCCUCGAUCACGGCCGCCUCCGUGACCUCGGGGAUGCGGUUUCUCAUGGUCUGGAACCUUUUAAGGUAUGACCGGAGAGUCUCGUCUCCCUGGCGCUUGAUGGAUUUGAGGUCCCAUGGUUGCGCUGGUUUGUCGGAGAGAGACUGGAAGUUGGCGGUGAAGCGUCGACUGAAGUCUCCCCAGUCGUCGAUGCAGUGUCGGGGUAGAUGUCGUAGCCACUGCAGCGCAUCUUGCCCAAGGACGAUGGGCAGAUACGCGGUCAUAACGUCUUCGGAUGCUCCGGCAGCCCGAGCAGCGGUGGUGUAAACGGCUAACAACCCCCUGGAUCCUGCUUAGGUUCAUAUUUGUCGACAUUGGAUACCUUGAAGUUGGGAGGCCAUUGGAUGGCCCUAAGGCGCGGAGUAAGGGCGGAUACUCCGCACGUGUCCUCCUGUCGUCGGGGAUGUCGUCUGUCCCGGGGAGGGGAGUGGCGGUGGUGGUUCCUCGACCAUCCCCGGGGGGUUCCACCAGUUGAAGUUGUUGCCGACUCAGUUCGGGUGGCCUGGCUUUGAGUCGGGAAGCCAUGAUCUCGGUCAUACUCCUCCCGACGGUGAAUUUUGUUCUCAUGCCGCCGUUCGCGCGAAGCAUUGAUAGAGCUUCGCGCGUCUCGGCGACUGUUGAUGGCGUGUCGCAAAUCGUUCGGCGGGUGGGCGAGCGGUAGAAGAUGGUUUGCUGCCUGAGUGAACAGGCGUCGGUAUCCCUCGGCGUCGGGAGUCCGAGGAAGUCCGUCAGCUAUCCGAGCUAGAACGCCUCCGACUUCGCUUGGCGUGUUCAUAGCUCGGGCGAAGUCGGGGUUCAGGUUGCGCCCGAAGAGCGGAUUCUCGCGUCGUUGCCUUGCAUCUUGCUCGGCUUGCUCCUGAGUCCGCCGGCGAUCACGUCGUCGAGAGUUCCUUCGUUCCCUGAAGACGCGUUCUUCCGGAGUUUCUCCUAUCUCUGAGACCUCGUCUCGCGAGACAGGCUGCUCCGGAUCCCGCUCUCCGGCUGCGUGAUGUCGUCGAACGUUCCUGCGUCGGUUCCUUCGUCGGCGGGAUUCUCGCUGAGGCGGUUCUUCUCCAGGUGCGGUCGGUUCAUCGUCAGAGACGGCGGGCGACUCUGCUCUCCCGAUGAAGAGGACGUCGGGGUAGAACGGUACUGCUGUCGCGGCGACUUUCUUUCCGUUCUCCUUUGAGGCCGGAGGAACGGGAAGAACGACCUGCCUCUCCCUGGUCUCCUUCUUUCUCACGACCCGUGUCCAUUCUUUCGUCGGGGAAGUAGACAGCGGAGUCUUCCGGGUCAGCGAGCUUCUAGCUCCAGCCUCCCCGGAGACGAUCUUUUUCCGAAGAGCCGGAGGUAGCGUCUUUCCAGCAUUUUCGGAGUUUGUUGGAGGAGACUUCUGUUCCGGCAGAUCUGCGAGGCGGUGUAGAAUUCCCUCUUCGUCCGCUACGGAUGAGAUUGUCCCGAAGCAGAAUACAGAUCCGGGACGCACGGCGAUCUUGCUGUGGAAGGUGACGGCCAUUGAGCUAGCUUGGAUCGUCGACACACCCCCUACCUGGCGCGCCAGCUAUCGGUGUUUUGGGUCCGACCGCACACCCGGGGUUGCCCAUCAAGGUGUUUUUAGGAGUAGGACGGUGUCAACGACUGUAGCAAAAUGGUUCGUGCCGGUCGCACGAGGGACAAUGGACAAGAUUUGCAGGUUCGGGCCGCUUAGAAGUGCGUAACACCCUACGUCCUGGUGAGUAUAUGAGCGUGGUUACAAGAGGGUUCUCUGGAUAGAGGGCGCAGAGAGUUUAUGUGGGUGGCUAAGUAGAACAGGGUCCAUCCUCCUGAAGGGGUGCCCCCUAGGCCUUAUAUACUCGGCCGUGGAGCAGUACAUGUGAUAUGAUAACAACAAGUAGCUAAAAGAUAGUGAACCUCUUGAGUUUAUCCCUACGUAACCCUCGCCGACUUAUCCUCGCAUGGCUCUGUUGCAUGGGGGCUUCAGCGCGGGAAAGUCGGGUCUCUGUUGCGAUUCAUUCGUUCGACGUUGUGGGCCGUCUGGGUUUGCACUAAUCAGUCUCACGUCUUCUUUUCUUUGUUGGUUGUCUUUCCCUAGGCCCACGAAAGAAUGACCUUACAAAUUAUUGGGCCCUUGGGCCUUUCGUGAGGCCUUUUACUUCUUUAGUGGACCCAGGGGAUAUCUAUCCCCCACACAUGGUCCAAAGUUCGGCCUGGAUCGGAGCUGUUGGCAGUUGGGUGUCGGCCCAUUCAGCCAGGAAGUCAGCCAAGACUUGGGACUUUAUGGCCUUCUGAGGGGCGAAUGAGAGUGUUUCGCCCAUGAGUUCCACUGCCCACUUUGCUAUCCUACCCGAGGCCUCACGGCACUGGAUGAUCUCCCCCAGGGGGAAGGAUGACACCAUAGUCACCGGAUGAGACUCGAAGUAGUGUCGCAACAUUCACCGUGUCAGAAUUACUGCAUAUAGUAGCUUCUGAAUUUGUGGGUAGCAGAUCUUGGUCUCGGAUAGCACCUCGCUGAUGAAGUAGAUUGGCCUCUGGAUGAGCAGUGCAUGCCCUUCCUCUCGUCUCUCGACUACGAUCGUGGCACUGACCACCUGAGUGGUUGCGGCUACGUAGAUCAAGAGGGCUUCUCCCGCGGCGGGGGGCACCAAGAUGAGCGCAUUGGUAAGGAGUGCCUUAAGGUUUCUGAGGGCUUCCUCGGCCACAGGGGUCCAAGUGAAGCGCUCGGACUUCCUUAAAAGGCGGUACAAGGGCAAGCCUUUCUCGCCGAGGCGCGAGAUGAAGUGGCUCAGAGCCGCAAGGCAUCCCAUGACCCUUUGUACUCCAUUCAAAUCUUUGAUCGGUCCCAUGUUGGUGAUGGCCGCGAUUUUCUCCGGGUUGGCUUCGAUGCCUCGCUCGGAGACGACGAACCCCAGGAGCAUGCCUCGGGGGACUCUGAAGACACACUUCUCGGGAUUGAGUUUUACGCCUUUCGCUCUCAGACAUUUGAACAUCGUCUCAAGGUCAGAGAGGAGAUCGGAGGCUUUCUUCGUCUUGACAACGAUGUCAUCGACGUAAGCCUCAACCGUUUGGCCGAUGUGUUCUCCGAACACGUGGUUCAUGCACCUUUGGUAUGUUGCACCUGCAUUCCUCAAGCCAAAUGGCAUAGUAGUAUAACAAUACAUACCAAAAGGUGUGAUGAAAGAAGUCGCGAGCUGGUCGGACUCUUUCAUCUUGAUUUGGUGAUAACCUGAAUAGGCGUCGAGGAAUUACAGGGCUUCGCACCCAGCGGUGGAGUCCACAAUUUGGUCGAUGCGAGGCAGAGGGUAGGGAACCUUCGGACAUGCUUUGUUCAACCCGGUGUAGUCGAUGCACAUCCUCCACUUCCCACCAUUAUUUUUCACAAGCACAGGGUUAGCUAACCAUUCAGGAUGGAAUACCUCUUUGAUGAACCCUGCAGCAAUAGCUUGUGGACCUCCUCGCCUAUGGCCCUGCGCUUUUCUUCGUCGAAACGGCACAGAUGCUGCUUCACGGGUCGGGCUCCGGCUUGGAUGUCCAGUGAGUGCUCGGUGACAUCCCUCGGUAUGCCGGGCAUGUCCGAGGGACUCCACGCAAAAACUUCGGCGUUUGCGUGGAGAAAGUCGAUGAGCAUUGCUUCCUAUUUGGGGUUGAGCUCGGAGCCGAUCCUGACAUGCUUGCCAUCAUCGUUGCUGGGGUCGAGAGGAACGGAUUUAACCGCCUCAGCUGGCUCGAAGUUGCCGGCGUGUCGCUUCGCAUCUGGCCCCUCCUUGGAGAGGCACUCCGGGUCGGCGAUGAGGGCCUCGGACUCGGCGAGGGCCUCAGCGUACUCCACGCACUCCAUAUCGCAUUCGUACGCGUGUCGAUACGUGGAUCCGACGGUGAUGACCCCGUUGGGGCCCGACAUCUUGAGCUUGAGAUACGUGUAGUUGGGGACGACCAUGAACUUGGCGUAGCAUGGCCUUCCAGCACCGCGUGGUAGGUCCCUCGGAACCCGACCACCUCGAACGUGAGGGUUUCUCUUCGGAAGUUGGAAGGAGUCCCGAAGCAGAUGGGCAAAUCGACCUGUCCAAGGGGUAGGACACGCUUUCCGGGGACGAUCCCGUGAAAGGGCGCCGCGCUGGCCCGGAUCGUGGACAGAUCGAUUCCCAAGAGUCCUAGGGUCUCGGCGUAGAUGAUGUUGAGGCUGCUGCCUCCGUCCAUGAGGACCUUAGUGAGCUUAGCAUUGCCGAUGACAGGAUCGACAACCGCGGGUACCUUUCCUGGGCUCGGCACGCGGUUGGGGUGGUCGCCUUGGUCGAAGGUGUUGGGCUUGUCGAACUAGUCUAGGUAGACUGGCGCCGCCACCUUCACCGAGCAGACCUCUCGGCGCUCCUGCUUGCGGCGCCGAGCCUAGGCGUUCGCCACUUGCCCACCAUAGAUCAUGAAACAGCCGUGGAUCUCCGGGAACUCCUCUGCCUUGUCGCCCUCUUUCUUGUUGUUGUCUUGGCCAUUGCCAUCUUCCGGCGGGGGCCCAGCCUUAUGGAAGUAGCGCCGAAGCAUGACGCAUUCCUCAAGGGUGUGCUUGACGGGACCUUGGUGAUAGGGGCACGACUCCUUGAGCAUCUUGUCGAACAGGUUGGCCCCUCCGGGAGGCUUUCAAGGGUUCCUGUGCUCGGCAGCAGCGACAAGAUCAGCGUCAGCGGCGUCGCGCUUUGCUUGCAACUUCUUCUUGGCCUUCUUCUUCGUGCCCCGCUGGGCGGACGCCUCGGGGAUGUCUUCUAGCUGCCUCUCCUGAGGCUGCUUGUCCUUCCGGAAGAAUGCUUCGACCGCCUCCUAACCAGAGGCGAACUUGGUGGCGAUGUCCAUCAAUUCACUCGCCUUGGUGGGAGUCUUGCGCCCAGUUUGCUCACUAGAUCUCGGCAAAGUGGUGCCGGCGAGGAACGCCCCGAUAACAUCCGAGUCGGUGAUGUUGGGCAGCUCGGUGCGCUGCUUCGAAAACCGCCGGAUGUACUCUCGGAGGGACUCCCCUGGCUGCUGGCGGCAGCUUCGGAGAUCCCAGGAGUUCCUAGGGCGCACGUACGUGCCUUGGAAGUUUCCAGCGAAAGCCUUGACCAGGUCGUCCCAGUUGGAGAUCUGCGCGGGAGGCAGAUGCUCCAGCCAGGCCCGGGCGGCGUCGGAGAGGAACAGGGGGAGGUUGCGGAUGAUGAGGUUGUCGUCGUCCGUCCCUCCCAUCUGGCAGGCCAGCCGGUAGUCUGCAAGCCACAGCUCCGGCCUCAUCUCCCUCGAGUACUUGGUGAUAGUAGUGGGGGCUCAGAACCGGGCUGGAAAUGGUGCCCGUCGUAUGGCCUGGCUAAAAACUUGCGGACCUGGUGGCUUGGACGAUGGACUCCGUUCCUCCUCGCUGUCGUAGCAUCCUCCGCGCCUGGGGUGGUAGCCUCGGCGCACCUUCUCGUCGAGGCGGGCUCGACGGUCGCGACGGUGUUGCUCGUUGCCGAGGCGAUCCGGGGCCGCAGGCGUCCCGUCCCGCGUGCGCUCGGCGUGGGCCGAGGCCUCUCGUAUGCGUCGGGAGGACGUUGCGUGAUGCUCCGAGGGGCACCCUCGCCUUCGGGAAGCGGAGCUUUCGGCUUGUCGGACCACGACAUGCUCCAGGAGAUUCUUGAGUUUGCCCUGGAUACGCCGUCCCUCGGUGGUGGAUGGCUCCGGCAUCGUUCGGAGCAGCAUCGCUGCUGCAGCCAGGUUCUGGCCGGUCUCGCUGACGACCGGGGGCAGCGCUGCUCUGGCAUUGUCAACGAUACAGCGCUGGACGUCCUGGGUCCGACACACUUCUCCGACUAGUGCUUGGCCUGUCCACUCCUGCUCUAUGUUUUGCCGGAGCUGCACAAGUCGCCCUGCCUCCUCGUCGAGCUUGGCCUACAUCUCGCGGAUUUGCUCGAGCUGUAUGUCCUGACCCCCCGUAGGGACUGGGACCACAGCUAGCUCCCGCGGGAUGUCAACGCGAGACGCAGGCGCAGGGGGGUCAUUCUCCGGCAUACUGAGGUGGUUGCCUUCGUUGAGAUCCCCCAGAUCGACGUGGAAACAUUCGCGACUUGGGCCAUAACCCUCGUCGUCAAGGCUAUGGCUAUCAUCAGAGCAACCGGAGAGGUAGUAGUCACAUGCGGUCAUGAAGUCUCACAUGGCACUGGGAUCACGGAGCCUGGAGAAGUCCCAACCGGAGUUGGGACCAUUGUUUUCCUCGGAACCCGGGGGCCCGUAGGUUGAGACGGCCGCCAGUUGGUCCCAGGUUGACUACAUAUGGUACACCGGAGGGUUAGGAUAUGCCCUAACGAGAGCGCUCACCGAAGCGGAGUCGCUUGGUGGAUCAAAGCUGAAUCGAAAGGGCACGGGAUGGAAAACAGACGGUACCUCUUGGUCGAUGGACGGUGGUGAGGUCGCGUCGGGGACGGAGCGCACCGUCAUCUCAGGUACGAGGCUAACGCCCAGCAAGUCCUUCGCGAGGGUGCUGGCAUCGUCAGUCCGCUUGUCAUUGGCGCGUUGCGAGGAAGCGACACCCGUCGUUGUCUCAGGUGCGAGGACGACGCCCGGCGUGUCCCCCGCUGGGGUGCAGGUAUCGUCGACUCGCUCUGGAGCGACAAUCGACGAGGUGCUGCCUCUUGCCUGGCCACGGUUGCCCCGUCUCCUCCUCCUGCAGCGAGGAGGGUGGCGAGGCAAACCCGAAUGCUCCUCUUCCGCCACGGGGGGAAGACGCCGUCGAGUUCGCGGCCGCCGGGCGAGCCGACGACCGUCAUUGUUGUCGUGUCGCGAGGGGAGGAGUACCAUGUCGUAGCUGCCGUCGAGGGACAUGAACUCGAGACUCCCAAAGCGAAGCACCGUCCUGGGCUGAAGAGGUUGGUGAAGACUCCCCAUCUGGAACUCAACGGGAAAGAGUUCGUUAACACGCAGCAGGCCCCUACCUGGCGCGCCAACUGUCGGCGUUUCGGACCUAGGGGGUCCCUGGACCGACUAGUAAAUUUGUCGCUGCGUGCCCCUGCCCAGAUGGGUUGGUGCGAGAUGGAACACAAGGGGGGAAUGAGACUUGUAUUAUCCUGCACCAGGGUGCUUGUAGUAGGGGAUACAAGCGCGUCGCGAGGGAGAGAGAGAGGGAGCCUAUUCGUUAGCUCGUCCCUCCGCGCGAACCCUCCUCCAGGAAGGCCCUGGACCUCCCUUUUAUAGAUGCAAGGAGAGGGUCCAGAUGUACAAUGGGGGGUGUAGCUAGGUGCUAACGUGUCCGGCAGAGAGGUGCCUGAGCCCUGUGUACAUGCCAACGUGGCUGUCGGGGGAGAGCCUGAGCCCUGUAUGCGUGAUAAUGUGGCCGUUGGGGGAGAGCCUGAGCCCUGUAUGUGUGAUAACGUGGCCGUCGAAGAAAUGCCUGAGCCCUGUAUGAAGCAUAGCUGGCGGUGCGGCUGGGACCCUGCUGGUGUCUCCUUGCUGUCGUAAGGGGCUGAGAACCACCGACAUCAUGGUCGCACGCGGGGCACCAUCAUUACCCGUUGCCGGGGUAAGCUAUAUGGGACGUCGGUCUUGUCCCUUGUAGCCCGAGCUAGCUAGGAGCAGGGUAAUGAUGUUUCCCCUGUGGCGCGGUCGGUCCGAGCCCAAGUUCGGGCGAGGCGGAGACUUCUCCUGAGGCCGAGGCUGGGGUCGGGCGAGGACGCGAUUCCUCCCAAGGUCAAGGCAGAGUCCGAGUCUUGGGGUCGGGCGAGGCAGAGAUCUCCUCCCGAGGCCGGGGCCUGAGGUCGGGCGAGGCGGAGCUUCCUGUUGCGCCUGAGGCUGGUCUCGGCUGUUGUCAACCCCUCUCGCGUGGUUGGCACAGCAGUCGGAGCGGGGCGAACGACGCUGUUUUCCUGUCAAGUCUGUCAGUAAAGGGGGCGAAGUGACUGCGGUCACUUCGGCCCUGCCGACUGAGGCGCGUGUGUCAGGAUACGGAGUCAGGUGAUCCUCGCAUUGAAUGCGCCUGCGAAGCUGUCGGAUGGCGAGGCGGUUUGGCCAAGGUUGCUUCACAGCGAAGCCUGCCCGAGCCGGGCUUCGGGAGAGCCGAGGGUGUGCUCACUGCCUGAGGAGGCCCUCGGGCGAGGCGUGAAGUCAUCCGGGACUACUGUUCCCGCCCGAGGCUGGGUUCGGGCGAGAUCGCGCCAUUUGGGUAGACGAAGCCUUGACUUGAACCGUGCCCAUCAGUCCUUAUGGUUUGUCCUGAUGGUGUCUACCAGCCGUUUUUAGGAGUGUUGGGGGUACCCCUAAUUAUGGUACCCGACACAUUUAUAAGAGUAUGAUUCAAUCUUAUUUUCCAGUAUUAUCUAACAUGUUUGUCCAUUAGGAUAGAUCUGAUCAAAUUAGAUGGGAUUAGAAUUAAAUUGGUGUAAUCAGAUAAGAUCUACUUAAUUUAUUUUGGAAUAGAUCAUAUUUGUUACACUAUAAAGAGAUAAGCAAAGUGGUGGGGAUAAGUAUGCUUAUUUGAACAAUAUGAAUCUCUAAGAAUAGGAUAGAAUCUUUUGAGAUUAGUUAGAUCUUUUAGGAUAGGAUAGAAUCCUUUCAAGGAGAGAUGAGUCUAUUAAGGUAAGAGAGUAUCUUUUAAGAUAAGAGAAACUAUUAAGAUAAGAAAGAAUCUUUCAAGAUAAGAUUGAUCUAUUAAAUUAGAUACACUUUAAUGGAGAUUAAUCUAGUCUCAUGAAUUUUAUUUAUUAAAGAUUAUGCCUAUACGUAUAUGUAGAUUUAAUUGUGGGCGUUACUCCACAACUAAUCACACUCAAUCAAAGAUCCAAAUCAUGCAUGUAUCAUAAGAACAAACACUCAAGCGUAUAGAUACCCAUAAAAAUAGUUUUGUUUUUGUUCCUAAGAGUAGGUCUCCUAUUCCUAAAGGUCACUUUAGGCACGUGAUUUCAAAGUGUGAAAUCCACAUUUGUCUUUAGAAAGAAAAGGUAAGAACAAUCAGAGUAAAGCAGAAAUAGAUGAGAAAAGAUUAAGAUAAGUUUAGAAAAGAAUCAGAGUAAGGUAAGUAGGUAAGGGUUUGUCCAUUUCUAUCUAGGUUUUGUCCUACAGUCAACAUUUCCUCUGAUACCACUUCUGUAACACCCGGUUUCUAAGGGACAAAGCUGGGUGCAUCUCAUACAUGCGCCAAAGAAGACAACACAUAUAAUAAUAGAGUGUAUAGAGAUAAAUGUCACAAUAAUCAGAGUACUUAUUACAUAGCGGAAGACUUAAAAAAAUAAAAGAUAAAUAUAGCAAGAUCUAAAAUCCAUCCUUGGUGCCAGAAAGUCAACUAGGAGACGCAACCUAGAUCGAAUCGAACUCCUCGAUGCGUGGCUCCACUUGAACCACCUGUUCUUCUCCUGUGGGGGAGGGUGUGAGACAGCAAGGGUGAGCUCACACAUGUUCAUCGCUCAACAAGUUGUGGGGAAUAAUGUGGCAUGAACUCACCAAAGGUGGGAAUUCAUGUGAAGUGUAAGGCUGAUCAACAAAAUAAAGGUUGAAGCUGAGCAUUGCUUUUAUAAGUUGGUCAAAAUUUUAUUAGCAAUUACUAAGUAUAAGUAGAUACCAAACCAUAAUAAUAAUAGAACAAAAUUAAUAAAUAAUCCCAUGCAAAUGCAAAUGACAAUUUGAGUUUAAGUUCCAUAAAUUAAUCAUGUGAGGGUCCGAGCCGCUCAUGACUGUGAGCACGGCUAGUAUACCAGUUUUACACUCUGCAGAGGUUGCACAUCUUUACCCACAAGCCAUGUUACCCAUCUGCCAAGGGGUCAUGAAUCCCAUACACCUCUACCAAGGAAGUGAGGCAGGGUAACACUACGAGGCCUUUACAAAGUUCCACUAGCUUCAGAAAACCCGCUACAGUUUAUAGGAAGCUCCAGUGCAGGAAUCCCUCGCCUGACCGCCAUCGCAGCAAAAUCAACCCAAGUACCUUCCUACACUGACCACUCCCCUACUGCCCUUGCCCCUUUUGGGUAAGGUAGUCAUCCACUAGCUUUCCUAGUUAAUCAGCCAAGGGCGUCCCAUUAAACCCUUGUGGUAGCACUGUUUCCCCGGGUGGUCGCUCCAUGUUCCAAUUAACAUAAUGAUCUUAUCAUGAAUAUAAAUAACAUAACAGAAUAAUUGGAACAUGGAUAUAAUAAAAUAUUAAUCCCAAAAUCAUAUAGAGCAAUAGCAUAACGACCCAAGUGGUUCAGGGAUAAACAAGGUAAAAAGGAUAACCAAUCUAGGGUGACCUAUUGGGUCCCAUCAAAAGUAAACCUAUGCAUUGAAUAGUGAUAAUAAAGAAUAUUAUUGGGUAACUAAAGUGGAUCAAGGGCACAACUUACCUGGCACUUGAGAUUUCAGUUACUAGGGUGAUUCUUCAGAUCCUCGUGACUGCACUGCUAGUCGUAGCAAUACAAACAAACAUGGUAUAGAUAAAAUCAAUAUCACACCAAACAUGAGAACAAAUUAAAUAAUAAUGAUCUACGCGAAGCUACAAGAUCGUGGGAACGAGAACCACUAAAAUCGGAGUUACGAUUAAGGAGUUAUGAUCUAUAAAAGCUCUACGUAAUUUAAAUAUUAAACUUAUAUUAUAAAUUGGUUAGUAUAGUGUUGGGGACUUGUUCUCAAAUGCUAUGAAUUAAGAACAAGGCAACAUAGAAAAUAUUAAAUGUCAUAGUUCUUUGUCCUUCGAAGCAUUAUUUCCCUUGGGAUAUAAUGGAUUCCAGACGAAGGUUAUGAAGGUUAUACCUUCAUAAACACAACAAAUAAUGAGAAAGGGUAAAAAAUAUGUAAAAUAAUUUAAACACAUGAUUAUUAUUAUUAACUCAUUUCUAUUUCAUUAUUGUAGAAAUGAUAACAAGUUACAAAUGUACCUUCGGCUUGAAGGAAAGCAAAAAUACCAGCGUGAAGCAAAAACAAAUGCCCAAAGCGUGAUUACAGGAGAGCGCCUGAACAGUACAUGGGUACUAUUCACCUAUUUAUAGGCACAGUUCAUAGCUUGUAUAUAAUUACAUUUAUACCCUUUACACUGAACUACAAUAAUGACACAGAAUAUCAUGGGUCUUUAAGUCAUUUCAUCUUUAAGUCGGUUCACCCCUUCGUCUUGAGACAUGUCACUGUGCCGAAGCUUUAUAGUCGAUAGCUUCGGCGCUGCUUUGGAGAGGAUCUGCCGAAGGUGUUCAUUUCUUUAGGAUCUUCGGCUACGAAGCAUACCCCCAAUAGUAGCCCCUUCGCGGCGCUAGAUCGUUUUUUGUAACGAGCUUGAUCCGUGAAAAAUCUUCUAAGCUUCGGGAUGCCGAAGAUCCAAAAAACACCUUCCCUGAGCUCGUUGGCGAGAAACGAUUAAAAUAAUCGUCGGACGCGCGACCCAUCUUGCACCAAUUACACGCUCGCCAGCAAUUCACCUUCUCGAGCUAUGUGGCCCACCGUUCAGUGAGUGCGGGUGACUGUUUGUUCGGUGCUGGAGACCUUGCUGAUUCACCUUCCCACCUGCAGCACUAUAUAAACAGACGGGUAGAUGUGAAGUUACCACAUCAUUCAUUGCUAUUGUACUGUUUUGCUGCCAAAUUUUUAGUCAGAGCCGAAGCUUGAUCAUUGCGCUCAUACAAAAUCUGCUUUGGCGCAAGUGGAAGAGCUUCGGAAAAGACAAAAAAAAACCAAUUCAAAAAAUUUCAAGUAAGUCAUAAUCAAAUGGCCAGAGUUCGCUCUACUGCAAGAGUCGAUCGCGAGGGAGACGAAACCGAAGCUGUGGAAACUGUUCCUAUCUCGGAAGCAAUGAAGCGAUCUGGGUUGGUGGCACCAGAAGACGUCCCUGUUGCUGAAGCAGAGCAAGCAGAUAUUGAAGAGACCGAUUCUGAAGAUGAUUAAAACAUCGCAGUGCCGAGCAAGCCUAGCCACCUGGACUUCGGAAAGUCGACCAUCUCCAAAGCUGAUUUUCCUAAGAUGGUGAAGUCGGGCUACUUUAGCGAAGAUAAGAAAGAGCUGAUUCGCUUCUGUGGAGAAGAAACUACUCCGAAGCCACAGAAAGAUGAAAUAGUGAUUUUCAAGAGUUUCCUCAAAGUUGGUUUGAGAUUUCCUUUGAAUAGGAUGAUUGCCGAUGUGCUAAAGAAGUUUGGGAUCCACUUUCAUCAACUAACUCCUAACGCUAUUGUUAGGCUUAGUGUUUAUAUUUGGGCUCUCCGAAGCGAGGGGGUGGAACAGUUUGCCGAAGGUUUCUGCCGGGUGCACGAGCUACAUUACCAAACCAAGGUCAGAAAGGAUGGGUUACAUGAAAAUUUUGGUUGUUACAAUUUUGCCUAUCGGAAAACUACAAAAUUUCCUGUGAUUAGCUACCGAAGCAAGUGGCCGGCAGGCUGGAAAUCGGAAUGGUUCUACGUCAAAGUUGACGAUGACAAGGAGAAGCUGGUCCAGAGUCCGCUUGAACUGAUCUUCGGAGAAACCAGACCCCAAUGCAAUAUGACACCAGAAGGUCCAACCCAAACUGCGUUGGCUGAAUUCAGGAUUAUCGCAGAGCACAUUGGCACUAGAGAUUUAGUGCAAGAAUUUUUGGCUUUCAAAAUAUUUCCAACUAUGAAGGAAUGGGCUAUGCCGAAGCUUGAAAGAGAGAAGAAAGAGGGGGAGCUUGUCCGACUGCCCUACCACUAUAAGUUCAAGAAAUAUUUCAAAGCACCCUGUCAAGAAUGGCUCGAAACAAUCGAAGUAAUGAGCACUGAAAUUCUUGGGAAUUAUUCUAAAAAAGAGGAUCAAUUGAUGACAGCAGCCUUCGGCACCCGGCCGAAACGAAGGCUAAACAGAGUGCUUGAUGCUAUAGGCUUUGAAUAUCCUGAUUAUGAGCGACUUGACAAGGGUGCCGAAGGGCAGAAAAGGAAAAGAGUAGCCGACGCUUUGAUCAAAGACGGCGAAGAUCAAUCAAAAAAGAAGAAAGAAAAGUUUGAAUCGAAAGUGUUAACUUCGAAGAAAAGAAAGGACUCAAUCCCGGAACAAAAAUCAAUUGAUGAAGAAGAGAAGGCUUCUGCGACAUCUUCUUACGCUGAAAUAGAGGAAAUUCUAAAGGUAAUGACUGAAACUUUGCCUGUCAAACUAAGUCCAUUGGGGCUUCAUCUGACGAAGCUUUUUCAUAAUGAAAAGGAGCCCGCAAAGACAAAGGCAUCUAGGCCAAAAAGACAAAGGAUUGUUACCGUGACAGAAGUGAUUGAAACAACACCACCAAGAGCUCCAGCUCUGAAGAUGCCGUCAAUUGAAAUCAUGACAGCUACUGAAGCUGUACCUUCGGAGGCUGCCGCAGAAGAGGCCAGAGCCGAAGAUGCUAACUCCGAAGGUAUUAAUUUAGAGAGCAUAGCCGCUGAUAUAGAUAAAAUGCUGCUAAACAUGGCCGCUGAAGAAACUGCUGCAGCCACCGAAGAGACCACGGCUGCCAAACCCGAGAAAGAAGGAAUAACCGAAGAUACCUCGGAAGAUGAAACUUUUGACUUCCGAAACUUAGUUGGCCAGGAGCUGACUGAAGCUGAAAAAGAGGAAUUAAAAGAGUAUGCUAUAUCUUGUGGAUAUCGGCCGAGGUCGCUUCUCUUCGGUGGUAUUGAUGAUGAAGGGUUAGGCUGCAUACGAGACCAAACCGGUGCGAAAGUUGUCGGUACUUUAUCAAAGAGUAUCGGCUUCCCGAAGCUUGAAGCGGAUAUCAGCCGCUAUCGUCGACAACAUAUUGUCGGCAGUUUAUUCUAUUCUAAUUUCAAGGUAAACAUUUUGUGUCUAACUCUUAUUACUUGUGGUACGAAAAUAUUUUCUAACGAAGGCUAUUUGUCCACAGAGCAUACUUUUGAGCAAGGCAUUAAAAAUGCAACAAGACUUAGAGGAUAAAAGACAAGAAGUUAUAAUUGAAAAUUUAGAUAACAAAAUAAAGGAGCAAUCUGCUGCCAUUGAGAAGAAAGACCUCGAGCUACAAACACCCGAAGGUUUAUUAGUUGAUGCUGAAACAAAAAUAACAGAAUUAAAAGCGAAGCUUCUUUCCCAGUCAGAAAAUUUUGAACAAGAGAAACUGAAUCUUGAUGCAAAGCUUGAAGCCGAAGCUCAGAGAAACUUGGAACUGAAAGAAUCUUUGAAAAAUCGUCAAAAUAAACGUUUGGAGUUCUGCACUCGAUGCAUUCAUCAGUUAAAGCAAGUGUUCCAUUUUGUCGGAGCCAGUAGUGAAGAGUUUACUCCUUCGGCCGAAGACCUGUCUGGUGCCUUCGAGCAUAUUGAAGGUGAAAUUAAUGAUCUUGACGAAGUUAUAGCUGGGCAUAGCGACUUCUGUGCCCUGGCAGCUUCUCGGGGCACAUCCGUUGCUUUUUUGAAGUCUGACUAUGAACACGGCAAGAUUGUUAAUAGACCCAACUUCAGCCUGUCACCGGCAGACCUAGAUGAUGUUCCCAAUCUGGCUCGGAGUAUUGCAAAUAGAUUUAUAAAGUUAGUAUGGACAAAGGGUGGUCGGAGCAAAGCUAGUGACGAAGCUCGGAGCCACCUCAAGCUGGUAACAAAAUCAUACCUUAUGCUUACCUUUUCCUUUGAAUUUUUGAAUUUGGCUUAUAAUACUUUCGUACAGAUUGACCAGGCCGAAGCUGCAGCUGCAGAGUAGAAGAACGAAGCUCCAGAGAUAGUGUCGAAGCUUGAAUAAUCUUGUAAAAGUAGCUCAAAAAACUCGUGUAAUAACUUGUAUAAAAUAUGAUGUAAUCUGAAUUUUACUUUGUAAUAUAAUCUUACUUUUCUGUCCAUGUAUGAAAUGCUUUGGUGUGGACGAAAUUAAUACUUUUGAGCCAUAGGCGAAAAACACCUUCCCUUCUUUGCGUACACAGCGAAGCAUAAAAUUGCCUUCCUUUCGGGACCGAAGCAUGUUUGUAUGUUAUGCUGAUGAUGAUCCUAUGUAUGUCUAAGUGAAUGUUUAUGAAUGCAAAUGUCAUGAUGUAAUGUAUCGUGCAAAUGAAUGUUCAAAUACAUAUUCGAAACCAUAUUCCCUUGGGAAUGACUCAAAUUUUCUUUGCCGCUUAUUUUUCGGCUUCACCGUUUAUUUUUCGGUGUAUCAGCGCUGACUUUUCGUUGUAAGCCUCCCUUAGGAGCUUCUUCGCUUUUUACUUCGGCGGAAUUAGCGUUGACUUUUCGUUGUAAGCCUCCCUUAGGAGCUUCUUCGCCUUUUACUUCGGCGGAAUCAGCGUUGACUUUUCGCUGUAAGUUCUGCAUUUCCUUGGGAACGACUUUUGAGCUUCUCCUUGUUUCCUUUUCUUUUUUCUUUGCACUCGAUGGUGCUUCCUCAGCUUUUACAUUUACAUUUUGGGGGAUUUUGCUCUUAUAGAGCUGAAGUAAAAAAAAGAAAUUACAUGCUAUGGCCCCAUUAAAAACCUUUCUCCCCCUUUGGAAAGGAAAAAGGUGCCAUUAAAAAAGAAUAUAAAAAAUUACAUCAAGCUAGACAUAAUAUCGCCAAAGCUCAUCCGCAUUCCAUGAUCUAGGAAUGUCGUUGUUGUCCAUAUCCUUCAAUCUGUAGGAACCGGAUCUUGACGAAGAUACUACCAGAAAAGGUCCUUCCCACUUCAGCUGUAGCUUGCCUACUGUGUCUGGGUUGGCGACUCUUCGAAGUACUAAAUGUCCUGGCUUAAUAUUUUUAAGCCGAACCUUUCUGUCAUGCCAUUUUAUUGUUUCGGCUUGAUAUUUGUUGAUAUUUUCUACAGCUUGAAGCCUGAUCCCUUCUAUAGCAUCUUUUUCCACAGAGUAAUCAGCUUUAGCUUCGUCUUCUGCCAAAGCUACUAUUCUUAUUGAACCUGCUUUUGCUUCUUCCGGAAUUAUUGCUUCGUCACCAAACAACAAUUUGAAUGGUGUAAAACCUGUUGAUCUUGAUAUUGUUGUGUUGUGGCUCCACGCCACUUUGAUUAAUUCAUCUGGCCACUUUCCCCUGGGCUGAUUGAAGAUUAACUUCAUUAUUCCUGUCAUUAUGAUGCCAUUAGCCCUUUCAACGAGUCCAUUUGACUCCGGAUGCCGAACUGAUGCGAAAUGAAUCUUCGUGCCAAUUUGUUCACAAAACUCUCUGAAAGCUUCGGAAUCAAACUGCGUUCCAUUGUCCACAGUGAUGGCCUUCGACACUCCGAAGCGACAGACAAUAUUUUGCCAAAAAAACUUUUGAAUAGUAACCAAAGUUAUUGUGGCUAGAGGCUUUGCCUCAAUCCAUUUAGAAAAAUAUUCCACUGCCACCACAACAUAUCUUAAGUUCCCUUGUGCUGGUGGUAGCGGACCUAACAAAUCAAGACCCCACCUUUGCAAUGGCCAAGUGGGUUGUAUUAACUGAGUUAGAGACGAAGGUUGUUUUUGAUCUCUUGCACAUUUCUGACAACCUUCGCACUUUUGGACUAAUUCUGCUGCAUCCGAAGCUGCCUUUGGCCAAUAAAAUCCUUGACAAAAAACUUUUCCCAGCAAAGGCCUAGAUCCAAUGUGAGAUUCACACAGGCCUGCGUGUAUUUCCUUCAUCAAUUCUAUACCUUCGGCUCUGGAUAAACAUUUGAGUAGUGGAGAGCAGACCCCAUGCUUGUACAACUCCCCUUCUAUUAUGACAUAUGGUCGAGCUCUUGCCUCUAUUCUUUUGUUAUAAGCUUCAUCAUCUGAAAGAAAGUUACCCUGAAGGAAAGAGAUGAUCUUCAGUUCUCCAAUCUUCACUAUAAACAGGAGAUAUAUUGAGGACUGCUCUUUCAAGAAGUUCAACCGAAGGUGCUUUUAUUGUUUCAAAAAAUACUUCCGAAGGUAAAGGCAGCCCCUGUGCUGCUGACUUGGCUAGCAAAUCAGCAUGUUCAUUUUCUCCUCGAGGGAUAUUUCUGACAGAAAAUCCUUCAAAGGAAGCUUCGAUCCUUCGAACCGUGUCUAAUUAUUUCUCCAGCUUCGGGUCUCUUGCUUUGCAACUUUUGUGAAUAUGACCAGAAAUAACCUGGGAAUCAGUUUUAAGGAUGGCUCUUCUAAUUCCCAUUGCCUUUAACUUCUGAAGACCCAAAAGCAAAGCUUCGUACUCAGCAAUGUUAUUUGUGCAGCUGAAAUCAAGCCUUGCUGCAUAGCAAGUUUUGACUUUGGAGGGUGCGACCAAUACAGCGGCUGCUUCUGCCCCGUAGGUUCCCCAAGAACCGUCGCAGAAUAUUGUCCAGACUUCGACAUCUUUACUCGCUUCCUCUUCCUAAUUAUGAGCGACUUGACAAGGGUGCCGAAGGGCAGAAAAGGAAAAGAGUAGCCGGCGCUUUGAUCAAUGACGACGAAGAUCAAUAAAAAAAAAGAAAGAAAAGUUUGAAUUGAAAGUGUUAACUUCGAAGAAAAGAAAGGACUCAAUCCCAGAACAAAAAUCAAUUGAUGAAGAAGAGAAGGCUUCUGCGACAUCUUCUUUAUGCUGAAAUAGAGGAAAUUCUAAAGGUAAUGACUGAAACUUUGCCUGUCAAACUAAGUCCAUUGGGGCUUCAUCUGACAAAGCUUUUUCAUAAUGAAAAGGAGCCCGCAAAGACAAAGGCAUCUAGGCCAAAAAGACAAAGGAUUGUUACCGUGACAGAAGUGAUUGAAACAAAACCACCAAGAGCUCCAGCUCUGAAGAUGUCGGCAAUUGAAAUCAUGACAGCUACUGAAGCUGUACCUUCGGAGGCUGCCGCAGAAGAGGCCAAAGCCAAAGAUGCUAACUCCGAAGGUAUUAAUUUAGAGAGCAUAGCCGCUGAUAUAGAUAAAAUGCUGCUAAACAUGGCCGUUGAAGAAACUGCUGUAGCCACCGAAGAGACCACGACUGCCAAACCCGAGAAAGAAGGAAUAACCGAAGAUACCUCGGAAGAUGAAACUUUUGACUUCCGAAACUUAGUUGGCCAGGAGCUGACUAAAGCUGAAAAAGAGGAAUUAAAAGAGUAUGCUAUAUCUUGUGGAUAUCGGCCGGGGUCGCUUCUCUUUAGUGGUAUUGAUGAUGAAGGGUUAGGCUGCAUACGAGACCAAAUCGGUGCGAAAGUUGUCGGUACUUUAUCAAAGAGUAUCGGCUUCCCGAAGCUUGAAGCGGAUAUCAGCCGCUACCGUCGACAACAUAUUGUCGCCAAUGUUGGGGACUUGUUCUCAAAUGCUAUGAAUUAAGAACAAGGCAACAUAGAAAUUGUUAAAUGUCAUAGUUCUUCGUCCUUCGAAGCAUUAUUUCCCUUAGGAUAUAAUGGAUUCCGGACAAAGGUUAUGAAGGUUAUACCUUCAUAAACACAACAAAUAAUGAGAAAGGGUAAAAAAUAUGUAAAAUAAUUUAAACACAUGAUUAUUAUUAUUAACUCAUUUCUAUUUCAUUAUUGUAGAAAUGAUAACAAGUUACAAAUGUACCUUCGGCUUGAAGGAAAGCAAAAAUACCAGCGUGAAGCAAAAACAAAUGCCCAAAGCGUGAUUACAGGAGAGUGCCUCAACAGUACAGGGGUAUUGUUCACCUAUUUAUAGGCACAGUUCACAGCCUGUAUAUAAUUACAUUUAUACCCUUUACACUAAACUACAAUAAUGACACAGAAUAUCAUGGGUCUUUAAGUCAUUUCAUCUUUAAGUCGGUUCACCCCUUCGUCUUGAGACAUGUCACUGUGUCGAAGCUUUAUAGUCGAUAGCUUCGGCGCUGCUUUGGAGAGGAUCUGCCGAAGGUGUUCAUUUCUUUAGGAUCUUCGGCUACGAAGCAUACCCCCAACAGUAGCCCCUUCACGGCGCUAGAUCGUUUUUUGUAAUGAGCUUGAUACGUGAAAAAUCUUCUAAGCUUCGGGAUGCCGAAGAUCCAAAAAACACCUUCCCUGAGCUCGUUGGCGAGAAACGAUUAAAAUAAACGUCGGACGCGCGACCCAUCUUGCACCAAUUACACGCUCGCCAGCGAUUCACCUUCUCGAGCUAUGUGGCCCACCGUUCAGUGAGUGCGGGUGACUGUUUGUUCGGUGCUGGAGACCUUGCCGAUUCACCUUCCCACCUGCAGCACUAUAUAAACAGACGGGUAGAUGUGAAGUUACCACAUCAUUCAUUGCUAUUGUACUGUUUUGCUGCCAAAUUUUUAGUCAGAGCCGAAGCUUGAUCAUUGCGCUCAUACAAAAUCUGCUUCGGCGCAAGUGGAAGAGCUUCGGAAAAGACAAAAAAAAACCAAUUCAAAAAAUUUCAAGUAAGUCAUAAUCAAAUGGCCAGAGUUCGCUCUACUGCAAGAGUCGAUCGCGAGGGAGACGAAACCGAAGCUGUGGAAACUGUUCCUAUCUCGGAAGCAAUGAAGCGAUCUGGGUUGGUGGCACCGGAAGACGUCCCUGUUGCUGAAGCAGAGCAAGCAGAUAUUGAAGAGACUGAUUCUGAAGAUGAUUAAAACAUCGCAGUGCCGAGCAAGCCUAGCCACCUGGACUUCGGAAAGUCGACCAUCUCCAAAGCUGAUUUUCCUAAGAUGGUGAAGUCGGGCUACUUUAGCGAAGAUGAGAAAGAGCUGAUUCGCUUCGGUGGAGAAGAAACUACUCCGAAGUCACAGAAAGAUGAAAUAGUGAUUUUCAAGAGUUUCCUCAAAGUUGGUUUGAGAUUUCCUUUGAAUAGGAUGAUUGCCGAUGUGCUAAAGAAGUUUGGGAUCCACUUUCAUAAACUAACUCCUAACGCUAUUGUUAGGCUUAGUGUUUAUAUUUGGGCUCUCCGAAGCCAGGGGUGGAACCGUUUGCCGAAGGUUUCUGCCGGGUGCACGAGCUACAUUACCAAACCAAGGCCAGAAAGGAUGGGUUACAUGAAAAUUUUGGUUGUUACAAUUUUGCCUAUCGGAAAACUACAAAAUUUCCUGUGAUUAGCUACCGAAGCAAGUGGCCGGCAGGCUGGAAAUCGGAAUGGUUCUACGUCAAAGUUGACGAUGACAAGGAGAAGCUGGUCCAGAGUCCGCUUGAACUGAUCUUCGGAGAAACCAGACCCCAAUGCAAUAUGACACCAGAAGGUCCAACCCAAACUGCGUUGGCUGAAUUCAGGAUUAUCGCAGAGCACAUUGGCACUAGAGAUUUAGUGCAGGAAUUUCUGGCUUUCAAAAUAUUUCCAACUAUGAAGGAAUGGGCUAUGCCGAAGCUUGAAAGAGAGAAGAAAGAGGGGGAGCUUGUCCGACUGCCCUACCACUAUAAGUUCAAGAAAUAUUUCAAAGCACCCUGCCAAGAAUGGCUCGAAACAAUCGAAGUAAUGAGCACUGAAAUUCUUGGGAAUUAUUCUAAAAAAGAGGAUCAAUUGAUGACAGCAGCCUUCGGCACCCGGUCGAAAUGAAAGCUAAACAGAGUGCUUGAUGCUAUAGGCUUUGAAUAUCCUGAUUAUGAGCGACUUGACAAGGGUGCCGAAGGGCAGAAAAGGAAAAGAGUAGCUGGCGCUUUGAUCAAAGACGACGAAGAUCAAUCAAAAAAGAAGAAAGAAAAGUUUGAAUCGAAACUGUUAACUUCGAAGAAAAGAAAGGACUCAAUCCCGGAACAAAAAUCAAUUGAUGAAGAAGAGAAGGCUUCUGCGACAUCUUCUGAUGCUGAAAUAGAGGAAAUUCUAAAGGUAAUGACUGAAACUUUGCCUGUCAAACUAAGUCCAUUUGGGCUUCAUCUGACGAAGCUUUUUCAUAAUGAAAAGGAGCCCGCAAAGACAAAGGCAUCUAGGCCAAAAAGACAAAGGAUUGUUACCGUGACAGAAGUGAUUGAAACACCACCACCAAGAGCUCCAGCUCUGAAGAUGCCGGCAAUUGAAAUCAUGACAACUACUGAAGUUGUACCUUCAUUGUGUGGGUAAUCCUUGAGCUGAAGAUCCUCUUGAGAGAAGGUAAUUGGAAUGUGAGACCAUCUUGACUUGAUGAAGGGUCCUUGUACCCCUACAUGUUGUACUCUUCUCUGUGCCUCCUUCUUCUGUUUCUUGUUAGCCGGCUCUAAGCAUGAACCGCCUAUUAUCGGGAGAAUCAGCUUCGGAGCCAAAGCAAUUCCAGCUUGGUUCUUGAACGAAGCCAUUGUCUCAAGAAAGUGGAAGUGAGUUCACCGGAGGUGGGCACCAAUGUUGGGGACUUGUUCUCAAAUGCUAUGAAUUAAGAACAAGGCAACAUAGAAAUUGUUAAAUGUCAUAGUUCUUCGUCCUUCGAAGCAUUAUUUCCCUUGGGAUAUAAUGGAUUCCGGACAAAGGUUAUGAAGGUUAUACCUUCAUAAACACAACAAAUAAUGAGAAAGGGUAAAAAAUAUGUAAAAUAAUUUAAACACAUGAUUAUUAUUAUUAACUCAUUUCUAUUUCAUUAUUGUAGAAAUGAUAACAAGUUACAAAUGUACCUUCGGCUUGAAGGAAAGCAAAAAUACCAGCGUGAAGCAAAAACAAAUGCCCAAAGCGUGAUUACAGGAGAGCGCCUGAACAGUACAGGGGUACUGUUCACCUAUUUAUAGGCACAGUUCACAGCCUAUAUAUAAUUACAUUUAUACCCUUUACACCGAACUACAAUAAUGACACAGAAUAUCAUGGGUCUUUAAGUCAUUUCAUCUUUAAGUCGGUUCACCCCUUCGUCUUGAGACAUGUCACUGUGCCGAAGCUUUAUAGUCGAUAGCUUCGGCGCUGCUUUGGAGAGGAUCUGCCGAAGGUGUUCAUUUCUUUAGGAUCUUCGGCUACGAAGCAUACCCCCAACAUAUAGAUCAUAUGAGAAAUUAUUCUAUAAAUAAUUAUCUCAACUUUAAUCUAAGUCAUUAUUUUAUUAAAGCUUAUCUAGUUAAAUUAUAACCAUAAAAUUAGAAUACUAUAUUAAUAUUAAAUAAUUUAAUCUAAUAGACAUAGAUUAACCCAAUUAUAAUGUAUGGAAUAUCAUAUAAUAAAUGUUGCUAUUGUUUAGUAGAUAUUUAUAUGAAGCUAACGCAAUUGGAACGAGCUAAAUCGGAUUUAAAACGGAGGAGUUACGAAUUUCCUAAGGUUUAUGUAUUUUGCACAAGAUUAAAUAGGAUAUAAAUUUUAAUGUGACUUUCAUGUGAAAACAUGGUACUAGAUGAUAAACCGUAAUAUUACAAAAUUAUAGGAACUGGAAUGGAUUAAAAAGGAGUUAAAAUGUAUUUUCUAGGAAUUAAACAAAUUUAUGGAAUUAAUUUUGCAUUAAAAACCUUUUUCUAAAUGAAUUUCUCUGUUUUCCUAGAGGUCUGGACUGCGCGCAUGAUUAAACAGAAACCCAGGGUCUAUUGCAUAAAACGUCUAAUACUCAGGCAUACGGUCAAUGGACUGCGGGUUUAAUAAGAAGGAUUCCAGGGUCUCUUUUAAAAGACGGCCAGGGUUGAAGGGGUAUGGUUCAAUCCUGACCGUCCGAUCUAGCAUGAACGUCCCAGAUUAGAUCGCGAUUCCAGUGAACCGGUAUGCAACAAGGGACGUCAGAUCGCGGAUGAAGGUUCUGGAUUUAAAAUGUCUUGAUCAAACCGUACACGCCCGAUCGAGAUCCAAUGGUCAGAUUAGGACGCGUGAAGGGGUAUGCGCUGGUGUGAUCUCGACCGUCGAUGCCCGGACCAAUGGUCCAAAGCGCAUCGCUACACUUCUCCCCUAUCUCGACCACCAGAGCGGCCGCGCCGCCCAGGGAGCACGACGGAGGAUCGCUGGCGACACUCGAUUUGGCGCAACCGAGCCGGUGCCACAACACAACUAAGUGCUAAACGAACUAGGGCGUGCAACGAAUCGAAUGAGCUGGUCCUUACCCCAGAUUGGAGAGCCACGGAUGCAGUCCACGGCGGCUUGCGGCACGAUGGCGGAGAAGGAAGCUCGACGCCCAAUUCUGGCAACCCAGGCCGAUGACCCGAUCCGCGCGGUCCAUGGAUACGCUCCUUGACACCCGGUGACCGUCCCUGAGCUAGUCGCAGAACCGCGACCGCCGCAAGGAUCAAGAUUUGAUGCCGGCGGCAAUCCUCCCGAUGGCCGCCCCUCUCGGAUUUCUCACGGUGGGUGACGCUAAGGCGAUAGUGUGCAUAGACGGAUGGAAGAAAAGGAGAAGUGGACGACGCGCUAGACAUUAUAUGCCCAAGGUGAGUCUGUUGAGGCGUACGCUGGUGGCGAGAUUAACGGCGGGUCGUUAGGGAGGCCCUGACCAUGGUGGCGUGGGUGAGGUCCUACAGUUGUGUGCAGUUGCGAGGCGGCAGGCGGGAUCGG
rnacentral:lncRNA from 1 species